AUAUUACUUUGACAUUUACCUUUCUCCUUUAAUAUAAUCGCUUAUGAAGAAAAAGCACAUCAUUGACGCAUUCAAAAAUACGUGCUAUUUUUUUUAAAUAUAUUCGAUGAGAAUCCUGAGACUUAUGUUUGUGAAACAUCAAUCUCAUUCAUGGUCAGUAUGAAUUGGCGCGAGGAGACAACUUCAAGGCACUAGAAUGCUACAUGAAUGAAACCGGUGCCUCGGAAGAGGCCACGCGUGAGCAUGUCAGGCAAAUGGUGCACGAGACCUGGAAGAGGAUGAACAAAGAUGUGUUUGAGGACUACCCAUAUUCUGGGUUCGGGCCUUUUCUCGGCGCUUGUCUGAACUUGGCAAGAGCUUCUCAGUGCUUUUACCAGUACGGAGACGGACACGGCCUUCCUGACAACGAAACAAAGGACCACCUUGUGAGGGCACUAUUCGACCCUGUGCCCCUCGAUUAGGGAUGCAUAUUACUGACAGAGGUGUCGCUGUUGGAGAGAACCUAUUGACUUAUGUGUUAUUAUUAGCUUUUGGGGUGGGCGGCUUUGGAAGCUUUAAGACUUUGAAACUGUUGUAAUUGAAGCCUAUACGAUAGAUGGGCGUUGUACGAGCUCCAUAAAAUUCGCUGGGGAACCUCAUGCUAUUUGGGACUUUGAGUUGUGGUUGAUAUACAUAAUUGAUAAUAAAAUUUGUGGUGAUUAUUGAUACUUAAUUUUUAGUUGACGUGUCGAAAAGGUAAAAAAAUUGAGAUUUGGGUUUCCGAUUGCGAUGGAGCCCGUUUCUCACUAAAAAAUAUUGUUUCUCAUUUCUUUAUUUUGUAUCGUUAUUUUUAAGCAAUUUCCAAUUCAUCUUCGAGAAAAAUUCAAAAAGUCAAAUGGUUGAUUUUUGAGUUGACUUUUUGGUCAAUUCUUUGAUCAAAAGUUAAUCCCAAGUUGAAAAUUGACUUUUCACCUAAAUUUCACUUUCAUAAAAUCAAUUUUUCAAAAACUCAAAGAUUUGACCAAAAAAUCAACAUUUAAAAAAAAAUCAACUAAAUAAUUGACUUUUGGUCAAACAUUUGAUUAAAAAAUAGAAAAAACAAAAAAUCCAUAAAAACACUUCUUUUAGUGUAAAUUUGAUUUGUAUGUUGAAAAUUUCACAAAAUUCAACUUGUUUUCCAAUUUUUUUUAUUUUUGGUUCUAAAUUGUCCAAAAAUGAAAUUAGUUUUAUUCUAGUUACAGUUAGGUGUAGUUCCUUUUACGGCAUUUGUUCUAGGGACUAUUUUAAACCCAUUUGUUCACUUGAUUUUGUGGCCCUUCUCACUUGUCAGCAUAAUUUCUGAAGAGUUGAUCGUCCGAAUUUCUUCUACGUCAUUAAAUGCAUGCACAUGGCCAUGUGCAUGCAUGCCCGUAGAAAAAUUGUGCUGCCUCAUAAGCCUAUCGUGUAGGCGCCGAAUUCCCUCUCUUCUUGGUCAUCUUUUGUGGGCUUCUCUUGUUUUAUUAUUAAUAAAGAAAGAGGGAAGGCAGAAGCUAUUCUCCUUCUGCAUGGUCAUACGCGCACACUCUCAUUAAUUGCAUGGAGGCGCAUGCUUUGAAGAUCAGCGCCGUUCUGACAAUUCCGGAGUACAAUUUUGUUUUGUUUUCUUCCCUGCCACCAAUAAAAAGGAGAGAGAGAGAGCUUCGGAGGACGAAGCAGCGGCAAAGAAAAGAGCUUGAGAGAGCAGCGAAAAGAAAGAGCUCGAGAGAGAGCGAGAGGCGUGAGCUCAGAGGCGUGAGCUCAGAGAGGUUUGUGCGUAGUCGAUUCCAUUGAGCUGAGUUGUUAAACACCGUGGGUAUCGGAUAUAAAGUAGGGCUGAGAAACACUUGACUGUAUGAGUGAUUCUAAUUUUGUAAUUCUCGGAUUAUAGUUGAUUAUUUUGCUGAUUCUCCUCGUGGAUGUAGGUUUCAAUAUUCGGAUUGAACCACGUAAAUUUCUGAUGUCCUUUUUUAUUGUUCCUUGUUUUAUUUUUGACGAUUUCUAUAGCUCCCGACAUAAUUGCAAAAUAGACGAUCCGCUUCUGCUGUGAUGCCGAUUCAAACAUCGGCAAUCCAUGCAAAAAAAUGUGAGAGAACGGGACAAGAGCUGGGCACCGAAAAAAAGGUCAGCGGGGGCUUCCUACCCGACUCAGGGGUGGCGAACGAUGGGCAAGAUCAAUAGAUCAGACUACGUCUAGUCGCCUUGCACGCCCCCGAGCCGGGAUCCUUAGGAAAUCUACAUGGAUUGAACCAAAAACUAGAAAACUCAACUGAAAAACUUGAAAUCGAGGCAAGGGAAGCCGCAUCUUGUUGGUUCUGGAUAGGAGGCGCAACCUCACGUUGGGGACAUCGGGGGUGGCUAAGCAACGCUCGGCUAAGGUGGAUUCCAGGUCUCCCUCUUCUCGGUCACUCCCCGUUUCUCCCCCCUGGGGCUCCCUCAAGCUCUCUCCCGUCGCCCUCCUCUCCUUCGGGUCUCUCUUGGUCGCCCUCUCUCUGAUUCACUCCCCUCUCGGUUCCCCUCUCUCCCUUCUUCUCCUCUUCCACUGCUCACCUACUGUCCUCUCUGCUCUCUGCUCCUAUCCCCUCCUUUGCUCUUCCUUUCUGCUCCUGUCCCUUCUCCUUUGCUGCCUUGCUCUUCCUUUCUGCUCCUGUCUUUUCUCUUCUUCUUCCUGCAGGUUUGCGCGCGAGCUGGAAAUUGAAGAGGAAGACCGGUUGGGGUGGACUGGGCCAAAGGAGAAGAAAAAUAAUGAUGGGCUAGGCCUAGCGCAUGGGAAAAAGAAAAGGAGGCGGGCCGGGCCAAGGUCGGAUCCAGCCUGACCCAACCCCUAAGUGUUUUUCUUUUGUUGUUUUUGUUUUUUGUUUUUUGUUUGUGUUUGUGUUUUUGUUUUUGUUUGUUUGUUUGUUUGUUUUUUUUGUUUAAAAAUAGGUGUCAACAAAAGCCAAACGAGGAGAGGAGCCGAAGAAGAAGACUGCAGUUUAGCUUCGGCUUCAAUCGACUUGAACAACAAGAAGGCCUCGAAAGCAUAUCGAGAGUCAAAGUGACGCUUGCUAAGCCCUCAUAAUUUUUUCCUUUGUUUCUAUGAGAAUUGAUGGGAGACUUUUUGAUUUUGCUUGAAUUACAAAUUUCAUCAUAUGUUUAAGAAUAUAUAAAUAUUAAACCACUCUCACAAAAUGUAACAUGAUAUCAAAACUGGAGCGAUCCCUUUCAUGAAUGUGUAUCCAACCUCAUCAAUCAAAUUUCACAUGCCAUGGUCUAAAUGUCACGUGCCACUCAUAAUUAGACUUGCAGGUAAGAAAAAGGUGUUGAAACAUGAGGGGGGUAGCCCUUCCCCAGUGUCUCACUGAAGAACAAUCAAGAGAAGUUGCACUAACUCCUCUAGCCAUAGUGAAGAGAUUGUUUGAAGAGCUAUAUCGUGAGUCACAUGUUGAUGUAAUCAAGCUGAUCAUCACCAAUGCUAUGUGUGAUGUUUUGUCGAGGCUAGGAUCAUCUAAUCAGCCACCAUUAGCCAAUCUAGUUGUAAUAGAGUAUGUUCAUAAUCCCUCAUGAUUUGUUGGGGCCAAUAAUAUUCAUCAGAGUAGCCAACCCUUCAUGAGAAUUAUGCAAAGGUCCAUUCUUCUAAUCAAAGUCACAAUAAUGAGAAUAAUCAAGGAAAUAUUAGUCAAAAUAAUCCAACUAGUGACGGAAAUUUAACAAAUCAAAUUGGUCAAUAGGUUAUUUAAUUGCCAAAUGUUGAAGAUGUAAGGCCAAUUUCCACCCACUAUGAAUGUUCCAUGUCAAUUAAUGUUGAUAAUCUGGCGAGACUAACGUCACUGCCUAGAAGGCAAAAUUGCCAACCAAAUCCACAAUUUGUCGAAGAAGUUCAACAACGAUUAAGGUUAAACAAGGGUGUUAUCAUUACCUGUUUGCAAGUAACACAAUUAGCAACUCUUAUCCAACUCGACCUAAUCUUGACCCAACUUGGUUCUGAAUUUUACCAUAGUAAAAAAACCAAUCAAUUAAAAGGAAAUUAAGAGUGCAUUUGUUUUGUGGAAUAUGAAUGAUUUGGAAAUCAUUUUUCCAUAAAUGAUUGCUUAUAUUGCUCAAAAUAAUUAGUUACCUAAAAAUAUGUUUAUAAUCAAUAAUUUAUGUCUAAAUUUUUUAAUGAUAACACUUUUCAUUAAUUUAUUUUUCCAAGCAAUACAAGUAACCAUUUUUUAGCAAAAUAUUUUCCAAAUUAUUCAUUUUUUGCGAAACAAAUGGAGCUGAAAUAUGAAAAUGAAUUAGCAAAUAAGUAAUUACUCAAAAAAGCGAUAAGUACGUUAGGAGUGCCAUAAUUUUCGUAUAAUACUCGCUUGAGUAUUAUAACUUAUUUUUCAUUCACUUGAGUCCACAAAAAAAAAAAAAAUCGAUCACUCAAGUGUCGUCGGUGAUUUGCCUCAUCGAAAAAGCUUAUGUGACAUUAAUUUAUUAUACAUCAUUCGACGUGACAUGUUGUAAAGUUGAAGCCUGCACUUGAGAAGGCAAACGGUGUUGUUGAAGUUCCAAUGAUUUCAUAAAGUCACAAGUUUUUAGAAAUGAACACUAAGGUUCAUCAACUUUUUUAAAAGUGACCACUUAAGUGAUAGGAAGAGAUAGAGUUUGAAAAUGGCAUCAUUUGAGGAAGAGAAAGAGUUUGAAAACAAUGUCAUCUAAUUGGGGAAGAUUUUAACAAAACAACAAUAAAUGACACCGUUUGUUAUAUUCUUGCCGUGAUGGACAAAAAUUUCCAAGUUAGACUUUAGUCUAGUUUUAAAAAUUUCACGCCGGAAUGGUAAAUUAUAAAAAAAAUUCAUGCAAGACAAUUUGCCCUUGCUGAAAAUGACAUUCAAGUAAUCGAUUUUAUAUCGAUGUGGCAUUCAAACUAGUGAAAAAGGUUACUUCUAGUUUACUUAUUCCACUAAACAAUUGUCAGAUUUCAAGCUAUUAGGACAAAUAUGCCGUUAUUUCCUAUAGUAUUAGAAAUUUGGUCUGAUUUCUCCAAAGCGGUCAUACCUAGAAAGAUACGUCAAAAGGGAAAAUGCACGUGAAAAAACAAGCACACUCUCGAGCAUUAGAUAUAUAGAGUCCCAUAUAGUAUCUUUUUAACCCCCUUCAAGUGCUAAUAUUCCAUCAACAAAUUUUAGUGACUUUCCUCGUUUAGCUCUCACAUAUUUGAAACCGUUAUUGUUAUCACCCAACUCCUUCUUCUGGUGGUGGUCACUUAAAAUACUCACCCUGGAGAAAUGAUCAACGCAAAAUGAAUCGUUCGUUAUACAUAUACUAAUUGCAGGCCUUAAAAAAGGGAAAAUAAAAUAAAAAGGAUGGUGACAAUCAAUGGAUUUAUUUUUUGAAACUUUAUACUUGGCCACAGCACCGAUUGAUUAUUAUAUACUAGUUUGGUGUUGUGUGCCGGCCAUAUAUGUUACAUCCUCUAAAAUUCCGUCAAGACCCAAUCCGAUCGAACUUUAAUUUCUUAAACUCAUUUUCAUCUGGCCUUUUAAAAUGUUUAAACAACCCAUAUACAACUUGAUUGUAAGAAUAUGAGUCAAAGAAUGGGUUUAUGACUGGUUCCGACACCUCUAGUUUUGAAGCACGACGUUUGCAUUCAUCCAAAUUAAGCAUGGUGUGUUGAGGACAGCUGUUUUGAAACCAAAUAAAAAAAGAAGAAGAUAAAUUGCAAUGCUCAGAGAAUAGCGUGAGUAAAAAUUUGCACUGAAAGCAACUAAAAACUUUUUCCGUGACAGUUUCCACAACAACCCCUAUAUAAAGGAUGGUUAGCAUACGAAGAGACUUGCAAUAAACUUCACAAUGGCUCUUCCUGUUCUGUGCCCAAGCUUCCUUCCCUCCUCGAUCCGCCAUAAUCAACCCUCUCUCUUAUCCUUUCGACACCUUCGCUCCUCCUCCUCCUCCUCCUCCUCUGCCUCCAUCUCCUCCGGCGCUCAAUUCAUGACAUGCGCUUUGAAGAUUGAAGAUCAAGAGAUUGCGAGAUGUUCGGAAAAUUGGCCACCUAGCGUUUCGGACUAUGGCCUUGUGCAGUCACUUAAUGUUGAUUACCCCGUAAUGAUUUUCUUUUUUCGGCACAAAACCCAGCCUAGUUUAAGUACUCUGGAAAAUAUUCACAUUUAGUCCUGAAUUUGCAUUCUUUUUCCUAUUUGGUCCUCACUUAGAAAAAUUCUCUAUCAAACUUUUUGGUCUAUGGUUCUGACAAUUUGAAGCUCAUGUCCAUGUCAAUGCUAGCUGAAAAUAUAAUGUGGAAAAACUCGUCACUGUUGUGGAUAGUCAAUUCGCCAAACUACAAAAACAAUAACUCAAGACAAAUUUAAGCAAAUUUCACUAACACUUCAUUCCAUAUUGGCACUGAUUAUUUGAAUAUUAGACUUCUGUUGGCAUCGAUUAAUACGUCGGCUUCACUUUGCUGUGUUCAAAUUUUAAAUUACCACGUUGACCAAAAAAAAAAAAAAAAAAAGAACAUAAGUUCGGUGAGCGAAGUGCACUUCUUCCCUAUUUCCUGUUUACUUUGAUGGGAGGGUCCACAAAUUCCAGAACGACAUAAAAACAAAAGAAAAACUGUACUUUGAAUUAGAUAUAUUGAUAUAUACUUCUCAUGUGUACUUCUGUAUAUGAUUUAUAUAUGACAUUCGAGAUACGUAACACACACAUUCAUCCACUGCCACGGUAUCAAAUUUACGAGCAACCACAACAAUAUUAUAUAGGAGAUAUCGAUAAACCUGGUCAAAAGGCAUAUUUUCAACAUAUAGCAAGAGCUCAACAGUGCCUAUUCAAAUGUUUUGGCAACUAUAUUGAGAAUCGAUCUGUUUCAAUACGAGAGGCGAUAUUCAAGUCUGCUUGUGCAUUAACUUUGAUUAAGAUCUCAUGUUUCUGAGUUUUCUUGUGCCUAGGAGAGUAAAUAUACGGAGCAAGUUCAAAGGUUGAAGAAAGAAGUCAAGGGUCUAUUCGACGGGGAAAUGAAUCAGGUGGCCAAGCUCGAGUUCAUUGACAUGGUUCAAAGACUUGGACUAGGAUAUCAUUUUGAGACCGAGAUCAACAACGCUUUAUGUUCCAUCUAUAACAACACUGAAGAUCCUUAGCUUUCGAAUGAUCUCUAUGCCGCUUCCCUUUGAUUCUGGCUACUUAGACGACAUGGAUACAAUGUGCCACAAGAUACUCACCAACUAGUUUACCUUUUGUGAAUCAUGUUGACGCAUCAAAUUUUACCCUACCAUUCCUUCUCUUGGACAUAUAUAGAUGUGUUUGAAAGGUUUGUGAGCAAGACUGGCACAAGGAAUGGCUCAAUGAAGAUGUGAAGGGGCUUCUUGGUCUUUAUGAAGCUUCUUUUCAUGGAUUGGAAGGCGAAACCAUACUUGAUGAAGGUUGGAACUUCGCUUCUAAGCAUCUAAAGGAUCCAAACCUCAAUGAAGUUCCCACUAAUUUAGCGAGCAAAGUGCAUCAUGCAUUAGAUAUGCCGAUCCACUAGAGCCCAAACAGGUCAAAGGCCUGGUGGCUCAUGGUCAUGUACGAGAAAAAGCAAGACAUGAUCCCCUCUUUAUUAACAUUGGCUAAAAUAGACUUCAAUUUAGUGCAGUCAAUCCACAAGAAGGAAGUCAGCAUUCUGACAAGGUAUGCACAAGCACUCUAUAGUUCAUAGAUGCAAUCUGGCAAAGUAGGAGCACAUGUUGAUUGACUCACUCAUCAAAUGGCAAAUUUUUCAGGUGGUGGGUUGAACUUGGGGCGGCCAAGAUGACCUUUAGGAACAGGCUAGUGGAAAAUUAUUUUUGGAGAUGUUAUUUGUUUUUGAACCUCAAUAUACAGCUUUCAAAGAAUUGAGUUCAAAGAUCAGUUGUAUUGUGACACUUAUUGAUGACGUUUAUGCUAUAUAUGGGACACCAUAAGAGCUUGAGAUCUUAACAAAUUUCAUUAUCAGGUUUGUGUAAUGUCACCAACAUCAUUGUUUUCCCUCGUAACUGUUAUUGCCAAGAAAAGAUACAGGGAAUUAGUUAGUCUAUGAACAGGAUGCCUAUAACAAAUCCUAAAAAUUAUUUAUUAUGAAAUUAAUUCUUUGAUGUGUUUUUCCCAUAUCAUGUUUUGUAUCGGCUUGUUUGUCUUCUAUGUAAUUGAUUGGUUUCGGCCAAUAAAGUUAUGGUAUGCACCAAUUUUAUUUGUUACUUCUAAAAAGUGUACUGAGUAACAGCAAAAUUUAUAAGGUUGUUGAAAUGGCAAUAACUUGUCAAUAACUUGUUGAGGCGGGACAUUACAAACAUUGAUGAGCUUCCUCCAAUCAUAAUGCUCGAGAGUGUGCUUGUUUAGACAAUGAGAGAAUGAGGAAUCAAUCCCAUCCCUUACCUAUGGAAAUUGGUAAUAUCGACUUGCUAAAUCUUUCACCUAAUAAUUUCUAGCACGUGCGAAGCAACUCAUUUUUCUACUUCUAACUUUCCUUAUGACUUGUCUUUGAACAUAGAGAAUUCGUGAAAGUAUGAGAAAAGAACCUCCCUCGACUAGGUCAAUAACACACUUUCGAAUUUUAGUUCUAUAGUGGGCCAAUGAAUGCAAGGCGUACAUGACGGAGGUCUAUUGGUACGACAAGGGUAUUAAACCGACAUUGAAGGAGUAAAUGGACGUUGCGGUGGAUUCAAUCGGAGAGCUGAUUUUGCUAUUGGGUAGCUACUUCCUAACAAUAGGCAAAGUGAUGGAAGAGGGGAUAAAAGAACACUUGAAGUACCAAAACUUGACAUAGAUGGACACUUAAGUGCCAAAAGUGACGAAAGUGACACUUAAGUGCCACUUUUUUUUUUUUUUUUUGAAAAUAAGACAUCUGAGUGCCAAGUCGGGCGAAGGUGGCCGGGAAUCUUACGUGGUAAUUUUUUUUUUUUAAAUAUAACUCGUCUAUAUGGCACAUCGAAGAGUUGAGUCAACAACAAAUAGCCAAAAUGAUGUCGUUUUGUUUCUUUUUUUUUUAAUAAUAAUUUUAAUAUCAAUAUUAAUUAAAUUAAAUUAUGAGGGCUCAGCCCUCGCCACUUGCAAUCUCCAUAUUCCUUUCCUUUUUCUAAAUAAUUUCAUUUUAAAAUUUCAUUUAAUUAAUUUUUAUAUUAAUUAUUGUUGACAUCUAAAUUUCAGCCAAAAAAAUCAUUUCUAAAAAAAUGGGAACUUGUUUUUCCACAAAAUAUUUCAUGUCCAAUUCUUGCAUAUAGAUUAUUUAGGUGUUUAGUAUAGUUUUUUUUUUUAAUGGAAGUUGUUUUUCCUAAAAAAAAUUAAACAUUAAAAAUUAAAGAUAUAUAUAACAAAAGAAGAUAAAAAAAAAGGUUGGAGCUGAUGAUCUGAGUGUGACUAGCCAAGCCCAAGAGGUCAGAUUGUAAUUAAAAUGGCAAGUUGGGGCUAAAAUGCAAUUUUCAAAAGUUGAGGGACCAAUUCUCAAAUUUUGCAAAAUUUGCGCCCGAGCCCUUAUAUCAUCAUCUUUGCCCCCAUUUGAGUUGAAAUUGAACUUGGUUUAGGUCUAAGUAAUUGAAUUGGGCAAAAAUGAUCAAAUUGGAUUGAAUUGAGCAUUCUCGGGCAAGAAAAUGACCAACUUUGAGGGACUUUCCUGAAAAAUUAGGACUAGACAAUUGCGAAAAAUGAUCAAGAUCUUAAACUACUAUACAUGAGCUUGCUAAUUGAUCAAGAACCACAACCAAAUUGAUGAAUUUAGGCACCCAAAAAAGCUGCCAAAUCUCAGUCCACAAGUUAUUCUCAUUUUGGAGCUGCUGAGGAAGCAACUUGGUAGACCCACCAUAUCCUCCUCAGCUGCCCAACUGGCCUAAUCUUUGCAUGUAAUGGAAGACCAUAAUUAGUAGUGCAAGUGGAAAAAAAAAUUGGCUAGGGAUAAGCUGCUGAAAAAGCAUGGGAAAGUCGUAGCAAAAUCCGCACACUCAACAGCUACAAAUUUGAAAAUUUUGGCUUAGUCAGAAAGUGGGUAAACUGCUCAGUUGGCAGGCUUAGUUGGAGGGCAAAAAGCCGAUCAAGAGAUUGCUUAAUGAAGUGGAUAAGAACUAUAAAGCAUGCUCUUUUAAGGAAUAAGAGGUAGAAGACAAGAGGCACUGGAGGGAGCUCACAAUUGUGCUCAAAAGACACCCUUAGAAGUAACUCUAGAAAGCAAAAACCCAGAAAUUCCAAAUCAACAUAAAGAGAAAAGUGAAACUUUCACAAACUUGCAGCCAAAAUUAGCCAAAACCUUCAACUAGAGAGUGAAGUUCACUCAAAGAUCUUUCCAACCAUAAGUCACAUGUCCAAAAUGGAGAUCGGAAAGACCUCCUAAAGCCCCCCGAAAAGAUGCCCUCCCGGCAGGCCAAGGGAGUCCUAAGAUUUUUCUAAGUGUUGAGCUCGGUUGGUCACGAGUGAGGAAAUGCGAGUGUUUUUGAGAAAUGUGAGAGAUAAAUGAGGAAAUCCAUGACUUACAAACCAAACUAGAGUUUAUAUAGUUUGGGUUAGUUUUAAUUUGGCCAACAAAAGAGGUUCUGAAGCCUAAUUUUGAAGGUCAACGAAAACCUUCGUUGUUAGUUUUUUUCUUCCACAAAUCUCACUUUUAGUUUAAAGGAGCCAUUUUCCACGUGUCCCCCCGGAGGAUAAUUUCUCGUUUCCUCGACCAAGAGUCACUUGCAAAAGAAACUAGGAAGUAAGGUAAACAUCCUAGAUGUAUUUUUGUUUGAGUUUGAACAUGUUUUGAUCAUGAAAAUCAGGAGGAAACCUAGUCUGGAGAACUGAUUUAAGAGGUUGAAUUUUUUAAGUGUUUAAAAUCUCUUCAAUACCCCUACAUGCUUGAUUUGUUACCCUCCUUUGCAUGCGUUUUUUUUUUUUUUUUGGUAGUUGUGACUUUGAUGAAUGUUAUAUAGGAGUGCAAAUGAUGUAUAGGACAACUCGGCGUAGUCUUUAAAUCUCCUUGUGAACCAUGCAACCGUCUAUAACAUGAGCCAAAAACCAAGCCAAUCCACAUUGAGACAUGGUUGGCUAGCAUAGAUCAUGCAUGUACGCUUCUUGGAGAGUUCGUUUUGAUGUGUCUGAUUGAUCGUUCUUCGUGAUAUUUGUUGCAUUUGAAAGUCCAUGUUACCUAUUUUCAUCCGGAUGGAGUAAUAUUUCAUAUAUAUGUUGCAUGUGAUGGUUGUCAGGGCUUCAAUCUAGGCAUAUGACAUGUCUGUUUGACUUGGGUUCAACACUAGAUUUGCAAAACGGCUCCAACCCGCAUAUUUGAGGCCGUUUUCAGUUUGGUUCUUACGUGUUCUAGGCUGUGAUUUCUAGCUAAAACUAUUCUUUGUAUGUAAUAGUACAUCCUUGAUACUUUGCGUUCACAUGAGAUUGCUUAUGGGUCGAGAUUGAAUGCCACGAACAUGGCCCAAGGAAGCUGUUUUGAGAUGAUUUGAUGCAAGCCAAGUAUUUGAUAAAAUUUUGGAACCAAGCUUCGAUUUUGAAAGGGUCGAUUUAAGCUCGAUUAUUGUGAUAUUCAUGUGUUGUGUUGUUCAAUGUUAGCAUAUAUCAGUUUAGGGAAUUAUUAUUAUUAUUUAAAAAAAAAAUCCAAAAAUCCAAAAAUUUCAAUAUAUAUAUAUAUUGUUAGAGAAAACAUUUCCAAGAGAUUUUGAUAAUGCCCAAAGUAUCCUUAAUAUAUUACUUACAAUGUUAUUUGCAUAUGUUUGGACCAAAAUACUACACAAUAUCAUGGUGUGAUCCAUCAAAAGAAGUUCGCAAAUGUCCUAUUAUUACAAAAUAGCACUAGUCAACCAAAAGAUCAUGUACCGAUGAUAUAUAUAUAUAGAAGCAGUAAAGAUCAGGUUGAUGGUUAGGUGACAACCAAGUAUAUCAAUUAAUGUUCGUUGGGUCAGCUAAAAAACCGUUGAAAGAUCUGGAUUCGCAUAGCAGCAAAAUUGGAACAAAGCAUGUAGCAGAGUAGCUAGAGUGGUUGACAGGUUAGUUAAAGACCGCAGUGAGAAGAAAGCAAUAGUUGCUAUUUUUUGUUAGUUUGAAGAAGUCCUAGGAAAAAAGCUGUAUGAGUAAUAUAUUCCUAGACAACAACUUAAUGAAAAACUCUUUAAUGGUCAUCUACUUCUCUAAACCAACCUCAAUGGAUAGAUUGAGGAAAGUUAUAAAAGAGAAGGUUUUGAAGAACCAAAAGAGAGUCUACCACAUAAAAAAUCAAGUAGCUCAUGUACUAUUAUUCUUUGUUGAAAGCUCUCUGUCUUAUUAUUUUGUUUGUCAUGUUGUUUAGCAAUUGUGUUACGAAUUAAGUGAACGAGUAUAAGAGUAGCAACUAAAUUCAGAUAGUAUAAUCUAUCACAUGAAGGAUUAGUUCUAGCUGGUUAUAACUUUCCAAGCAGAUUGUUAAUGGAAUUUAGCUCAUCUUAAGACUAUUAGUUUGAAGUGUGGCAUCCCAAAAUUCAAAGCCAAGCCAUAACGUGUGUUAAAGUUUCUAAUUAGGUGAUAAAAAAUUUCCAUGGCUUAUGCUUUAGCCAUUAGUCUUUUAAUUAGAUGAUUCGUGCAUAUGAUUGUGAAAAUUUAAAUUUGAUAGAUUAAUAAUUUAUGCUUGGCCAUGUGCUUUGUAAAUUAAAUUUCAAUAACCAAGAUGCCCCAAGACUUUGGCCAAGAUGGAAAUUAAAAUUUUAAAAUAUUUAUAGAAGAAAUUCAAAAAAAAAAAAGAAGGGAAAAAGAGGGUCAAAAUUCGAUUGGGCCUUAAGCCCAAGAGUGGAACUUUAAUGGGCCAAGUUGGCCGGCCCAUUGAAGCCCACAAGUGGGCCGUCGACCAGCCCAAGAGGAGGCCCAAGAAGUGGCCGGAUGGCCCAAGCCCAAGAAGCCCAAACCCAAAUUAAAAAAAAAAAUUCAAUAUGACAAAUGGCAAAGGGGAAGGCCAUGCAUUGGCUGGUUUGUAGGCAAGUAAUGAUUGUUAAUCAUGAGGAUUUGAGGGUAUAAGAAGGGAAGAGAGAGAGAAGGUGGCCGGAUUUCUUUUGGCCGAGAGAGAGGGUGGGAGAGAGAGAGAGAGAAUUCGAGAAAGAGAGGGAGAGGCUGAGAGAGGAAGGAGGCGGAGCCGAGGGGUUGUCGCCGUCCGUCCGCCGUGUGCCGCCGUGUUCGCCGCCCUACGCCGUCGACCGUCCAUUCUAGAGGCAAGUGGGAGUCCUCUAGCUUCUCUUGCAUGCUUGUAUGUCGUUUGCAUGUUGAGUUUUUGGAUGUUAGAUGAUAAAAACCGAAGCAUGGAUGAGUUGUGUGUGAAUGGUGUGACUGUUCUUGCUCGGAUCGUGUGAGUCAGUAACUUGUUUGAGCUUGCAUUGUGUUUAGAGUCCGAUUUUAGAUUCUAUUUCUUCAUGAGAGUUGUAGCUAACAUCUUGAGCUACAACAUACUGAAAUUUCGUGGAAAAUUAUGGAGAUUUGAGGGGUUAAAGUGUUAUCCUACGGAGACCUCAGAUCUGGAGAGUUUUUACUGACCUCUUGCUGGAUUCGUGAUUGCAUGUUGGUUUUUAUUGAGAAUCUCACUUUUAUUUCUUCAUAAAAGUUGUAGGAGACAUAUUAAAAUACAACAUACUCAAAUUUGAAGUGAAAUGAACAAGUAUAGCCUAGUAAAUAAACUAGAUCUUGAAGAUGAUGAUUCUGGUGAUGAAUUCCGAGAUACCCGAGACUUCAUGGACAUAGAUGAUGACUAUAAUCUGGUUAUUUGACCUAGAUAUCUUCAUGAAACUUGUAUAGGACACCUUGAUAUAUAAAAUAUCUAAAUUUCAGAGGAAACGAAAGAGAAAAGGUAGGUUAAAUCUCAAUAUUUCGGAGAUGUGUACACUGGACGAUGCGGUAAUGGAUCCAGAAACUUCGUGCGGUUGUAUAAAAUAAUAUAAAAAUAAUCUGGCUUGGAGUUCUUCAUGAAAGUUGUACGAAAAUGUCUUGUCUAUCACUUUGUAAAAUUUAGUAAUUUUUGGAGGCCGUAUGGAUAUUUUAAUCGAAUUUCUUCGGAAACUGUGCAUUCUGGUUUUAUCCGAAUAUUAUGUGCUGUUUUGUGGAAAUUGUGAAAUUGUGUGAAAUUAAAUUUGGCCAUGAAUUUUGUAUGAAAUUGUCAUCCUAUUGGUUUUUUAAUGAUUGCUUGAAUUUUUAUAAUUUUGGGAAUUUAUAGAUAUUGAAUUUAAUAUUUAUUAUAAAAUAAAUAAAUAAAUAAAUAAUAACAAAAUAAAAUGGAUUAUUUUAUUGGCCAUAAAUUCCAUUGAAUUUAUUAAUAAAUAAUUAUACAUUGCUACAUGUAUAAUGAGACAUUGGUGUAUGUAUGACCUUGAAUUGUGACGCAUGUGUGAAUUCUAUGCCAAGUAUGACUUGUUUGAUGUCACGCCAUAUGCCAUGUUAAAAUGAGAUCAAAAUAAUGGUAAAUGUGGAUAAUGAUAAGUGAGGAAGUGAUUGUGGUGGAGGAUGAGGCCAGAAUGUAUAGAGAUGCAUUGCCGGAUUCCCUGGGAGAUUUAGGAUGCCCGGAAUGUGGGGGGCCGGAAGCCCUGUCGGAGGUCUUUGCCCGAAGGGAAUGCCUCGCGAUGCCAGGAUUGGGGUGCGGGAUGCUCGGCCAGGGAGUGUAAAUGCCGGAAGCCCUGUCGGAGGUUUAUGCCCGAAGGGAAUGCCUCGCGAUGCUAGUUGAGAUGCGAGAUGCCCGGAAUGUGGGGGGUCGGAUGCCCGGUGGCCUGGGAGGCUGAAUGCCGGAAGCCUCGGAGGUCUUUGCCCGAGGGGAUGAUAAAAUUGAUGAAUUGAGAAAUGGGUGAUGUGGUGAUCAAAUUGAAAGCUAAAAGUGGAAAUUAAAUCAUGGCAUGAUAUGCAUGAUAUGAUAUGCAUGAUGAUAUGCAUGAUGAUGAUGAUGAUGAUAUGUGAUGUGAAAUAAUGAUGAUCACCCAUGAUAUGAUAUGCAUGAUGAUAUGCAUGAUAUGAUAUGCAUGAUGAUGAUGAUGAUGAUGAUAUGUGAUGUGAAAUAAUGAUGAUCACCCAUGAUAUGAUAUGCAUGAUGAUAUGCAUGAUGAUGAUAUAUGAUAUGGCAUGAUGAUAUGAUGAUUGAUGAUGAUGAUGAUGAUAUGAUAUGCAUGAUGAUAUGCAUGGUGAUGAUAAUGAUAAUGAUAUAUGAUAUGGCAUGUGUAAUGCGACGAUGUCGUGAUGAUGAUGACAUGUAUGAUGUAAUGAUGUCAUGACGAUGAUGACAUGUAUGAUACGAUGAUGAUACACAUGUAUGUGUUAUAAAUCGAUAUGAUGAUGCAUGAUAGUAUGCGCAUGGCUUCAAGGUAAGUAGCGCCUGCAAUGCAUGUAUGAUUGCAUGAUGCAUGAGUUGUUAUUGGAUUCCCNNNNNNNNNNNNNNNNNNNNNNNNNNNNNNNNNNNNNNNNNNNNNNNNNNNNNNNNNNNNNNNNNNNNNNNNNNNNNNNNNNNNNNNNNNNNNNNNNNNNAUGGCAGUUUCCCCCACUAAGCUGAGAUUGACUUCUCAAACUGAUCGAUCGAAAUAAUAGUUCGUGACAUGGCACGGUGGCACCAACUGACGAAAUCAAAAGGGUUCGUCUUAUCCACCUUGAACAGUUGACCCCUUCUCUUCGAUUUCAAUAAUUCAUGUGUUAAAAGAAUUUGCGAGUCGCGUCCUCUAAAGUCUACCCUCUUGUGCGUCGUGGAGCUCCAUAUUUUUAUAACGUUUGUUCCCUCCCGCAUCUCCCAUUUCCCUUUCUUCUGAAAAAGGGAAAGACUCUCUCUCUCCCAAUUCCGGUGUACAUAUACGGGACGGCGCACUCAACACAUCUACGAACUAGCCGCGUCACUUUUUUUAUAUAUAUAUAUAUAUAUAUAUUAUAUAUAUAUAUAUAUAUAUAUGUAAAUAAAGUGUCGUGGCUUGUUUAUAAAAUUAUGGUGAUUAGUGGUGUGUAUUUGUAUCAUGGUUGGUAGGGGGAGAGAUGGUGAUGUUUUAAAUUGCUUCCGCUAAUGAGUCGCGCUGGGACCGUUUUGUUUAAAAAAAAAAAUGUGUUUAUGAAUUAGGACGCUUCUUCGAAAGACAGAAAGGUAAUAAGGUGUAACAUUGGCGCUGGUGACGACCUGCGAAGGGUUCGGGGUGUCACAUGAAGAGUGGACGUAAACUUGAGGAUAAACUUGAACCACUAUAACUUUCUGUGUCACACUGCUUUUCAUCUUCUUAUAUGAAUUGGCAUACGGUUAGUGAGUGUUUACUUAAACAUUGUGUUGAGGUGAUCUUUACUUGGCAAUUAGCUAGUUUCCAUAAAAGAUCAUUAAAGUUUGAAAACAACCUAUUCACCCCUUAUAGGUUAUAUUGUUAGCUUCAACAAUUAGUAUCAAAGUUUUGUUGCUCAUUAUCUAAGGCGUAUUUCUUUUGAAUAUAGAGAUCUUUUAUUAUGGCUAACCUUGGCAGCUUCUUUACUAAUGAUGCUUAAGCUACCAACAAGCCGCCAUAUUUUGAUGACGGCAACUAUGGCUAUUGGAAGCAAAGAAUGAAAUUAUAAAUUGAAGCCAUAGAUCUAGAUAUGUGGGAUGCAGUUGCAAACGGUCUAGAAGUACCAAUUUUUGUUCGACAAAAAGGCUGGGAAGCAGCAAUUGUCAAUGCUACAAAAAAAUCUCGAAAAAGAGCCAUUCUUAAUGCUAAACUGAAACACCUCUUGUAUUGUGUAUUAUCACAUUUUGAAUUUAACAGAAUCUCUUCUUGUGAUAUAACGAAGGAAAUCUAGGAUCGCAUUACGCUGACAUUUGAAGGAAUAGAAAGAGUCAAAUAAACAAAGCUAAACAUCUUGCUUGGAAACUAUGAGCUGUUUAGGAUAAAGUUCGAUGAAACAGUGACUCGUUCACACUAUUCACAAAAAUAAUGAACGUACUUGCUCUUUAAGGAAAAAGCUACAUAGAUGCGGAGAAAGUAAACAAAAAACUAUGAGCUCUUUCCAAGGAAUAGAGUACUGUCAAGACUUCACCACGAGAAACCAUGAGGAUUCAACCAAUCACAAUGGACGAGCUUAUAGGAACAUUCAUGUCCUAUGAAGUCGAGCUUUAAAAUGAAGGGAACAACUCCAAAGGUAAGAAAAUCAUUGCAUUUAAAGCUAACCUUGAUGAUACAGGUUGAGAAAUAUCAUUUGAUGAUGAAAAAAUGGAUGAAGACAUGGAAUUACUAACAAAGAAGGUUAAAAAAGGAAGAAUCCAAAGGUAAGGACAUCGUGUGCUAUGAAUGCAAGAAAUCCGGACACAUAAAACUAGAAUGUCCAUCCAUCAAGAAGAAGAAAGGGAAAUUUGAGAAAAAGAAAAAGGUGCUAAAAGCUAAAACAUGGAGUGACACUGAAUGUGAAUCAAGUGAUGAAGAAUAAGCAAAUCUUUCUCUCAUGGCUUCGAAUUAGAAGAAGAUGAGAUAAAAGAUUACGAGUUGUCUUAUGAUGAAUUGAAAGAUUUUUUAAAGGAAAUGUUUGAAAAACACCAAAAAGCUUUAAAACGAAUUUCUCCCUUAAAAAAGGAGGUUCAUAGCCUUACCACUUAAAACCUCACCAACCAAACUCUCAUUGACAACUUGAAGAAAGAGCUUGAUUCUCAAAUAAAUCAAGUAAAGCUCUUGCAAGCUGAGAAUGAGAAUGUCAAGGAUAAAAUUUCAAAAAUCAACAUUAAAUCUUCUUUUGGUUCAAAAACAUUAAAGCACAUUUUCUCUAUCCAAGUUCCUCACUACAACAAUAAUGAUCUUGGAUGUGAAGGAAAUGAGGAUGAGACGAAUCAUUUUCCAAAAGCAAAGGACAGAUUAAAGCACAAAACUCUUGCACACUUUUACAAGUCUCACUUUGUCAAACACUUUACUAAAGCUACUGGUAAGAAAUUUCCUAAGUAUUCAAACUAUGGAGGAUAUGGCCAUUUCAAAAUGGAUUGUCUAAAACAGCUAAAGAAAUUCAGGAAAACUAGCCGGUCUUUUGAUCCCGAAUUAAAGCCUAACCACAAAGGACCUAAGUUUAUGUGGAUGCCAAAGAAAAGAUGAGAUUUACUUUGAUUUCAGGUUAUCUUGAAGAACAACAAGUGGUAUUUAUAUAGCGAGUGUUCUUGACACAUGACUGGAGACAACAACAAGUUUGUAAUGCCUACAACCAUAGAUAGAGGCAUAGUUACAUUUGGAAGAAAAGAUAAAAGGAAGAAUUAUCGAGAAAGGAAACAUCAGGUUGGAAAAUUUAUUUGUUGAAUAUGUUUCACUUGCAAAAGGUCUAGAGCACAAUCUCCUUAGUAUAAGUCAACUCUAUGAAAAGGGUACAAAAUAAAAUUUGAGAAAUGUAAGUGAAUAGACACAGCAAGGAUAAAUCACAAAUAUUCACUAGAAAUAGGUAUGGCAACAUCUACUUACUUGACAUCAACUUUGAUGAAUCUUACUAUUUAAUAUCUAUUAAGGAAGAAUGUGAUCUAUGUACAAGAAAUUAGGUCAUAUUAAUGCAAACUAUAUCUUCCAAAGAUAUAGUUUGUCCUCUACCAAAAAUCAAUUACAGCAAGUAUGACACAUGUAAUGCAUGCACAUUGGAAAAAAAAAAGGUGAGAAACUCUUUCAAAUCUACCAAAGCUAUUACUACUGGUAGAUCUUUGUAACUAUUGCAUAUGGACUUGUUUGGACCAACAUGAACAACAAGUCUAAGAGGAAGAAAAUACUGUCUAGUCAUAGUGGAUGACUACUUGAGAUUCACUUGGGAAAUGUUUUUUAUCACAAAAGAAUGAGGCAUUUCAUUCUUUUAAGAAAUUUGCUUGACAAGUUCAAAAUGAGAAAGGAUACGACAUCACCACCAUUAGAACUGACCAUGGAGGAGAAUUCGACAACCAAAGCUUGCUGAAUAUUGUGAUGAAAACGGAGUGGAACACAACUUCUCCACUACUUACACUCCUCAAUAGAAUGGGGUAGCAGAAAAAAGAAAUCGAUCAUUGCAAGAAAUGGCAAGGACAAUAUUGAUCGAAAGUAAUGCACUUACUUAUUUCUGGGCUAAAGGUGUUGCUAUCGUAUGUUACACUCUUAAUAGAAUAUUACUCAAACCUAUGAUAGAAAAGACUCCAUACGAGAUAUAUGAUGGAAGAAAAUCUACUCUACGCUACUUCCAUGUAUUUGGAUGCAAAUAUUUCAUUUUGAAGAAUACAAAUGACAACAUCGGGAAGUUUGAUGCAUGAGCUGGUGAAGGUAUCUUUCUUGGUUACUCAACUACAAGUAAAGCCUAUCCAAUCUUUAUUAAAAAUUCAAAGAUAGUGGAAAAAUUCAUAAAUGUGAAAUUCAUGGAUGAUCAAAAAGGGACACAGAGUGAUGACUACGAGGAUGUCAUACAUAUAUUUGCACCAAUUGCUCAAAAACAGUAGCAACCCCUACUUCUAACCGAUCUUUCAAAUCAAAGUCAAUCUUCAAGAGAUUGGAGAUUCAAGAUUGAGCAUCCUAAGGAAUAAAUAAUGGGAAAAGUGGAUGGAGGAAUCAAAACAUGAUCAUCUCUCACAGGUAUGAUAAAUUCCUUAACUCUUAUAUUUGAAUUUGAGGUCAAGAAAGUUGAAGAUGCUCUAAAAAAAAAUGAAAGCUGGAUUGAAGCUAUGCAAGAGGAAUUAUAUCAAUUCAAAGUCAACGAUGUUUGGGAACUAGUUGCUAGACCUAAAUAUUAGACUAUCAUAGGAACCAAAUGGAUAUUAAGGAACAAACUUGACACAACAUGUAAUGUUGUACGUAACAAGGCAAAACUAGUUAUCAAACAGUACCUACAGGCGGAAGGUAUUGAUUUUGAUUAAACUUAUGCCCUUAUUGUUGAGUGCGGGACACCUGGAGUGCCAUAACUUGGCACGCCCGGACACUUAAGUGCCAUAACUUUAAAAUGGUACACUUAAGUGCCAUCAUCGGAGUAAAAUAGGACACUUAAGUGCCACUCCGGUGAAAAUCCGGCCAAAUGGCUGACGUGGCGACUUUCCGGCGAGCUCGGUCCCAAACGGCGUCGUUUUGCACGCUGACGUGGCGGAGAAAAUGCAAAAACGACGCCGUUUCGCGUCUACGUGUAAAUAAUAGUAUAUAAAUUAAUUAAAUUAGAUUUAAACAAAAAAUUUUAAAAAAAUAAGAAAAUUUUAAAAAUUAAGAAAAUUUUUUAAAAAUUAAGAAAAAAUUUAAAAAUUAAGAAAAUUUAAAAAAUUUAAAAAAUUAAGAAAAAUUUUAAAAAUGUUAAAAUUUUUAAAAUUUUAAAAAAUAAGAAAAAUUAAAAAAAUUAAAAAAAUUAAGAAAAUUUUAAAAAUUUUAAAAAAUUUUAAAAAAUUUUAAAAAAUUUAAAAAUUUUAAAAAUUUUAAAAAAUUUUAAAAAAUUUAAAAAAUUUUAAAAAAUUCAAAAAUUUUAAAAAAUUUAAAAAUUUUAAACAAUUGAGAAAAUUUUAAAAAAGGGGGGGCGGGGGGGGAAAUGGGGGGGGCCCCCUGCCCCCCCCCCCCGGCCCCCCCCCCCCCCCGGGUUAAAUUUUUUAAAAUUACGAAUUCCCCCCCCCCCCCCCCCCUUUUUUUAAUUUUUAAAUUUUUUUAAAUUUUCUUAUUAUUAUUUUUUAAAUUUUUUAAAUUUUUUAAAAUUAAAAUUUUUUAAAAUUUAUUAUUUUCUUAAAUUUUUUUAAUUUUUUUAAAAAAAAUUUAAAUUUUUUUUAAAUUUUUUAAAUUUUUAAAAUUAAAAUUUUUAAAAUUUUCUUUUUUUUAAAAUUUUUUUAAUUUUUUAAAAUUAAAAUUUUUAAAAUUUUCUUUUUUUAAAAUUUUUUUUAAAAUUUUUUAAAAUUAAAAUUUUUAGAAUUUUCUUAUUUUUUAAAAUUUUUUAAUUUUUUAAAAUUAAAAUUUUUAAAAUUUUCUUUUUUAAAAAAAAUUUUAAAAAUUUUUUAAAAUUAAAAUUUUUAAAAUUUUCUUAUUUUUUAAAAUUUUUUAAUUUUUUAAAAUUAAAAUUUUUAAAAUUUUCUUUUUUUAAAAAAAGUUUUAAAAUUUUUUAAAAUUAAAACUUUUAAUUUUUUUAAUUUUUUUUUAAUUUUUAUGCUGAUUUGGAGGUCCGGCGAGCCAUGUAGGCAAAAAAUAAUAAUAAAAUAUUGCCACGUAGGAUUUCCGGCAAGGGUCGCCGGAGGUGGCACUUAAGUGUCCCACUCGAAAAAAAAAGUGGCACUUAAGUGUACCGUUUUGAAGUUAUGGCACUUAAGUGUCCCGGCGUGCCAAGUUAUGGCACUUGUGGUGUACUUCUGCCCCUUAUGUUAGACUAGAAGCUAUACGUUUAUUAUUAGCUUGUGCCUAUUUUCAUGAUUUCAUACUAUAUCAAAUGGAUGUCAAAAGUGCAUUUUUGAAUGGUUAUAUCAAAGAAAUAGUAUACGUUGAGCAACCACUAGGCUUUAAAGAAACAAGUAGACCUGGUGAUGUUUAUCAACUCAAGAAGGUGCUUUAUAGACUAAAGCAAACACCAAGAGCUUGGUAUGAAAAAUUAAGUAAUUUCUUGACAGAUUAUGAAUUUAAAAAAAGUAAGGUAGAUACUAUCCUCUUUAUCAAUUGGAAAGGUAAAAAUUUGCUUAUCAUUCAAAUAUACGUUGAUGAAAUAAUCGGUGGAGCUACUAAUGACAUGCUGUGCAAGGAAUUUGCAAAAAUGAUGAAGAGUGAAUUUGAUAUGAGCCAAUUGUUGAAAUAAAUUUCUUUCUCGAACUCCAAAUCAAGCAAUCUCUUGAAGGCAUCUUUAUACAUUAAGAGAAGAACACAAGAUAAAUAGUAAAGAAAUUUGGUUUGGAAGGAUACAAGAAAAUCGAGACUCCCAUGUCAUGCUCUAUCGAAUAAGAUAGAGAUGAGAAAGAUAUAAGAAAUACAUCAAGUACUUGUCAAUUGCUAGGGAACGUGCUAAUUUCUUGGUUCCCGAAUAAACAAAAUUCAGUUGCCUUCUCAACCAUUGAGGCUGAAUAUAUUGCUCUUGGAAGCUGUUGUGCUCAACUCAUUUGGAGGAAGCAACAAUUAAGUGAUUCUAGAAAAGAUGAAGAAUGUAUUCCCAUCAUGUGUGAUAACACUUGUGCUAUAAAUCUAACCAGAAAUCCAAUCCUACAUUCAAGAGCCAAACAUAUCAAGGUGAGACAUCACUUUGUUAGAGAUUACGUUAACAAUGGAGAUAUCUAUAUACAAUUUAUAGAAUCAAAACUAUAGCUAGUAGAUAUUUUCACCAAACCGUUGGACAAGCCAGCCUUUGAAUAUAUACUUGGUGAACUAGGAAUGUUCAUUGUUCUAGAAUGACAACAUUUAGGUAAUAUGUCAAUUAUAUUGAAUAACAUUAGAUGUGGAAGAAACAAUUGGUACGCAUCUACUGUAUUAAUUCAAAAAGUUAAUGUUACAAGUACUACGCUUGUUACCGUUUUGUCCAUCUAGAGGUGAUACGAUUGUUGUAAAAAACUCCAUAUGCAUGAAUUUAUUGCCUAUCUAAUUGGUAGAUUUCAAAUACGAAACAUCUAUGGAUAAGAAAAAUCACCGUUGAUGAAACAAUGGCUAUUUUUCUCUCUCUCUCUCUUCAUGUAAUACACCACUUCUAUUUAUAGAAGAUUAGUAUUUAUUUUUUUACUCACUACUCAUACCUACCCUCUCAUAUUUAUUUUAUAUUAUCUACUCAAACCUCUCAUCCCUUCUACACACAAACACCUUUUCAUUCAAAUCCAUGGUACCCAAAGCUCACACCUUUUUAAAGGUAAUUGCUGACACCUGAUUUUUAGUCGACGUGUCAUUAAAAAGUACAAAUCGAGAUUUUGGAUUUUGGAUCGUGACGGAACCCUAUUUCUUGGCCGAAAAGUGUCGUUUAUUUUUUGUCUUUUUCAUUGUCAUUUUUAAGCAACAUCUAGUUUAUUUUCAAGAAAAACUCGACAAGUCAAAUGGUUGACUUUUGGAUUGACUUUUUGAUCAAUCUUUUGACCAAAAGUCAACCCCUUGACCAAAUGUCAACUCGGGGGUCAAAAAUUGACUUUUUACCCAAAAAGAUUUCAUUUAACUUUAAUUUCACUUUCGUCUAAUCAAUUUCUCAAAAAAUUGACAAAAAAAUCAACAUUUUAGUAAAAGUCAACUAACUAGUUGACUUUUGAUCAAACAUUUGAUCAAAAAAAUGAAAAAAAAUGAAAAAAAAUAAAAAAUACAUGAAAACAUUUCUUUGAAUGCCAAUUUGACUUUUGUGUCGAAAAUUUCAUAAAAUUCAAUUAAGGACCUUGAUUUCUAAAUUUUUUAGUUUUAGGUUAUAAAUUAACUAAAAAUAAAAUUACUUUUAUUUUAGGUAUAGUUAGGUGUAAUUCCUUCUUCAACAUUUGAUUUAGGGACUAUUUUAAAUUUUCUUGCAUAUUCAAUUUCGCGAUUUAACAAGUUAAAAUGCGAAUUACCGUUUUGAGCCCUAAUUAUGGGACCAAAAUCGAUCUUUUAUAACUUGUGAAUGGACGAUUGUUUCUCAUUCGUUUCCUUAAGAUAAAUCAAAAUUCAAAAUCGAUUUUGAGAAAUUCACACCAAAGCCUAUCAAUUUGAGGGAUUUUAUCCUCCAAAGCAUAAGAAAGUCAAGUAAUUAAUUUCAAUUGUCAAAAUUCGAAUUGACACAUUCAUGGUUAUGGUCUAAUUUCAUAAAUCUAAGUCUAAUUUGAAUAUUAGACCUAGAUCCAUUUUUGACAUAAGCCCGAGCGCUUUAAUUUAAGGCCAAUUCGGACAUGAUAAGUGAUCUUACAUAUGGGUAGGUCAUUAGAUAGGGCAAUUGUGACAUUAAUUGAGUUCAAUUUUAGUUAAUUUGUAAUUUUGCCUAUUGAAUUACAAAUUUGAUCAUUUGAGCUCUUGAGACCCAAUUCAAAGCACCCAUGAUUUUCACCUGUCACCUUUGACGAUAAACAUUAAAUUAGGUUAAUAAAAUACCUCUAGAUUAUGUUCAUAAGGUUUGAUUAGCUUAAUUGUAUCUCACUUGGCCUAUUUCUUUUUUAAAUAUGGUAAAAUUCCUUUUCAAUUUGAUCCUUUAGGAACCAAAUUGUUUAAAUUUUGGACCCACAAGGAUCCUAAGUAGACGAAAUAGCUAGAACCAGACCAAACCAGUCAAGAACCGAUCAAAACCCAGCUGAACCGCAAGGAAAUGGCCGAUUCAAUCCCUUGCCGGCUGGUUCUUGACCUCCAACGACCUGUUCUAGAAUCCUCUCAAUGUCAAUUUUACUUCUACACCUUUAAUUUCUUGAAAUUUUACAAGUUGUAUCUCGAAUUUUAUCAAAUUACAAAUUAACCCUUGAUAAGACAUUCGACAUAAUUCUCGAUUUUGGCUCGGGUUUUUGCAAAUUAAACAUACUAGAUAGAUUACCCAACACCUCGAGAUCAUGAUACAUCCUUUAAAAUUGAAUUUUAACCAUUGGAUCAAUAUUUUGAUCGUUGGAAUGACUGACGGUCGGAAUUGCUCGAUUUUAAGAGGGUAUAAAUACCCAUUUUCCCUCCAAUUUUUUUGGGAGAGGGCUUCAUGCUGCACGAACUUUUCUCUCUUCAGAUCUCUCUCUCUAAUUUCCCGCUUAAAAUCGCUCAGUCUCUUCCUACUCGCCGAUUUUGCCUGAUUCCUCUUCGGUGAAGCUUUUAGCCUUUGCCAGCAUUAUCCUUACUCUGAUGACCAUUUCCGACCUUACUCCAUUACUGUUGCUAGCUCAAGCCAUUUCUAGAGUGAUCAGAAGCCUCCAAACGGGCUUGAUUUUUCCUAGGCAUUAAAGACCGGUUCGAUUCAUGAACCGGUUCUAUUUCAGACUUGAACUGGCGAUUGCCGGACAGUCUCGUGCCACCAAUCACUCUUGAUCGGUGACGUAAGUGGUCUUCAACCUCGUUGUGGUUGAGGACUACCAGAUUUGUUCCAGUGACUUGCUUCCUCUACUAGCGUGAAGAUUGAUCCGAUUCUUGGACCGGUUCUGUGUGUUCUGCAAAAACAAAGGUCAUCGGAGCUUUUAGGAGGGUCUAGCUAUCUCUGUUAUGUGUUAGGAAUGUCUUCUGACCUCGUUGUGGCUGGCUAACUGCUGGAUCAACAUCAGUGGCCUAUUUUCUCGCUAGUGCUUGAAGGCUGGUUCAAUCGAAUCAGUUUAUGUUCGUGUUGCAUCUUGUCCGAUUUGGAGCCUUGAUCUAGUCCAUAGCGAUCCAAUCCACAUCCUUGGAGUUUCAAUUGUAAUUUGAAGGCUUGCAUCUUGUCCGAUUUGGAUCAAAAUCGACAAAAAUCAAUAAAAGGUGAUUUCUUAGUCUUAAACCCCUUGCAGUGAGGCUGGAUUAGCCGGUCGGGGUUAGGGUUCAAUCUAAAGGAUAUAUGCUAUGCUCAUGUGAUCUUUGAUAAGUUGUUGAAGUUUGAAUGCUGAUAAGUAUUCUUGGAUAAACUUGAAUGAUUAUAGUUGAUUUAGCUUGAAUAUGAAAUUUCAUAGCUAUAGGAUUGAUUUGACGAUUUGGCCAAAAUGAGGUCUGAAACAACCUCAUUUCAAUUCAAGUCCUCUUAAAACUUUGAAAAUACUCAUUGCUAACUUUGAAUCGAUAUAUUGCACACCUAAAUCAAGCAUCAUUUGACUCUCAAAAAACAUCUCUAAAGAUGAACAGAUCUGUAGUAGUUCAGGUGGAUUUUAAGUUUUGUUCUUGUUCGGAAAUGAGAUUUUUACUAUUUAUGUGUAGUCUUCUAUGAUGAUUUCUGGAUAGUCUUGCUUGCAUUGAUUUUGUUCCAAAUAGUCUUGUGCAUGUUCUAUAAUUUUUUCGUGAUUUUUGGAUUUAUUUAACUAGGUCAGAUCUACUCAGAUUUGAGCCUAGGUCAGUCUAUUCCAUGUUGAUCUCAUAUUUUGUCAUUUUUGUACUAAUCUAUGUGUUGAUUUCUGGAAGAACUUUUCCUUCAUGAAAUUUUCUCAUAUUAAUGUGAAGCAUGCUUUGUAUUUUUUUUUUUUGAAUUUUUAGACAUGAUUAACUAGGUCAAAAUCACUUAGAUCCGAACAUACAAUAGUCUGUCCUACAUUGCUCUGAAUUCUGUUUUGAUAAAAUUGAGUCCAAAAAUGAGUUUGUUUGGUCUUAAUUCCUCCAUGAAAGUUGAAAUACAUGUUGUAUAUGUUCAAUCGAUACAUGCUUUGCAAAGCCUUAAUGUUGGCAAGUGAGUCAAUUGCAUGAUUUAAAGUGAAAAUGUGCUACAACAAUACAGAGCUUAUAUAUGCAUUUUUGUUUUGUCAUUUUUGUUGUGAUUCAUGUGAUCACAUUUAGGUUUCGAACUUUAACGAAAAAUGUUCACUAUUGCAUGCUCUAUAUGUAGGAUUUUUUCUACGUCUUGAGAUGGUUGAAAUCAUUCCUGUUUUGUGAAGUUAAUGCUGAAACGAAAUCUUGUUGUAUGUGCAUCUUGUCAUGCUUGUUUGAGUCAUUUAGAGACCAAGUUUUGCAAUCAUGCCUUCUUGACAAUUAAACUGCAUGUUAUAAGAUUCGCAUACAUGUUUAGGUCAUAUCAUAUUGCACAUUAAAUUUGUUUUACAAAAGUGUUCUUCGCACUUAAGAUUCCAAAGCAUACCAUUAGGAAUCUUGAAUCAUUUUAUAAUGUCAUUUAAAUUGUAUGACAUUUUGCAUGCCGACCUAGGAUUAGAUGGUUAUCCAAAUUUUCCAUUGCAUCCGAUCCUAAGUCCCAUGUGAUUUCUUCAUGCCGUUUGUGCAUUAUUCAAAUAACUUUGAGGUUUUCUAAUGCAUGCUUGUGUUAUGUUUUUCUUAGUUACUAACACGCACACCUUUAGAGAUCUCGAUCUUAGAGUGCCUAAUUGACCUAAGUUGGACUCAAGCCAUUCUAAAAAAUUGUAAGGCAUGCUUAGAGGUUUUCAAUGCCAUUGAUUUGACACAAAUCACUCAUCAUUUGGAAAACUUUCCAUUAUUUUUAAAACUAGAUCAGAAUCUGGAUAGGGGAUCAAAUUCAUACCACUAUUCUAAUGUCAAACUCCAAACCUCAAGCGUACGCACAUCCCUUGGUGGUUGAUAAAAUUGCGACGUCCCAGGACACAUCGCUGACCCUUUCAUUUUAUUGCACAUGCGAAGUGUAUAAAUAAAUCCCCAGACAACACAAAUAUGGGAUAGAAAAGUAGGAUACCAUUUUUACUAAAACAGUUUUCAUAAACAAACUAGUUUAUACACAUAUGCCAACUCUAAGGUCUAUGCACAGGAGGUCUAUCUCCAAAAAGAACUACUGAGCCAUCCAUGCUCCUGACCCUUCUGCCUCAAGUUCCGGGUUCUUCACACUAGGGACUUGAAAAGAUAAGCCCACAAUGGGGUGAGACAAUGUCUCAGCAAGUUCAUCCUCUAAAUCCCGAUUAGAAAGGAAAUACGCCUAGGGGCGUCCUAACCACAUAACCACGCAACCACACAACCGUAGAGACUUACCUUGUCUCAGAUCCUCCUUGUAGGUCAGCACAUUUUUUUUUUUUUUUUGGUAAAAAAGGUUAGCACAAUUCAUAUCACAGACAUAAGCAGUAAUCAGCUCAAUCAAUUGGAAUGCCACAUCUCAUAUCUCACAAAGCCACAGGGGUCUCGAUUAUAAGGCUAAAUCGUUGUGAUACGUCUUAUACCAUACCACACAAUUUUGUUCCAUAAUCAGGCGCGUUAAUUUCACUUAAUCAUGCGUUCCUAAUUUUAAUCUCGGCCCAAUGGGCAUGGCCUACUUGAUGUUCAGCGGUCUUCUGGCGUAAUUAGGUAUCGUCUCACCCUAUUGAGCACGGUAACGUCUCACCUCAUUGCGCAUGGUAAUCCCAAAGGAGCAUUGAUCUAAAAUCUACUGUGACUGGCAUCUGUUGACAAGGGCAUUCCACAUAGGAGCAUCGUCCAGCUUAAUAGCCCAAGACAGUUUCUCAUAACCAACACACGACCAUCCAAUUCCGGCCAAGGAUAUUUUGCUUUGCACUCAAAUGCCUUAACUAAAAUAACAAACUUGGCAUAUUUUCUUCGUAUUAAAAACGCCUGGUGAAGAUAAUUGUGUGUGGGUACACGGUCAAAUCGAACUUUUAAAAAUUAAUAUCCUUCAUUUUAAAAUCCCACUGUUUGAUAUAGUACUUAAAAACAUUUUCGGUAUCAAAACCCGACACAUGGUAAUUUCUAAUUAAUUACCCAAAUUUCCAAAUCUUGAAUUAAAUACUCAAAAUUACAAUCACUACUCAAUUUGCACAAAUUAAUAAUCAAUUGCAUAAACUAAGCAUACCAUUGCAAUCAGCACGAAAUUCCAAUCAUCAACUAUCUCAGUAUAAUUUUCAGAAGAUAAUAAAUAAUUAAAUAAAUUACAAAAAUAAUUAAAUAAUGCAAAUUAAAUACAAUAAAUAUUAACUCAAGCUGGAAAUGCUAAUCUAACCACCUAAACGGGCCUAGAAAAUUUUCGCACCUAUCUAGAUAAAUAGUACAAUCUAUCUACCCUUAAUUAAUCUAUAACCACCUAACAUUCAUAAAUAAAUAAUUAAAUCACUAAUCUAAACUAACUAACCACCAAAUCCACACUUAACCUAAUUUAAUUAUCUACAAAGCGUUAUUAACUUCAUAAGCAGAGUUCAGUAAGUAAACUCAUCGGUUUAGUGAGGCGGUGAGUCCACGGUGAUGGCGACACGAAGGUGAGCGACAAACAAGCUUGCGACAACACCAAGCGGGGUCUAGACGGGCCUUAAAAUGGGCCUAGAAGUCCAACAACCCCUACUGGCCUUCAGCCUCUGUCCUUGGGCCGAAGGGCUUGAAUGUGCGGCCUAGUUGGGCUGAAACGGCCACGGAUGGAUGGCGGUGGCUGGAACAGCUCCUAGUGAGCUUGACGGAUGUGGAGGGUGGCUCGACGGUGACGGACAGUAGCCAGGCGAUCUCAACAGUGGCUAGGCAACUCAGGAUGGCGGUUGGGCACAAACACGAGGAGGGACGAGCACGCGGGCACGAGGGACGCGUGGACAGCUCGCGGGCGGUGUGCGACUAGUCCGGCGACUUCAAGCGGUGGUCAACAGUGAAGGAGGAAGGCUGGCUGGUUUCUUUGAUUUUUCUUGUGCUCCAAACAUGCUAAAAUGGAGAAAGUGAGGCCAAGGGAAAAAGAAGAAGCUGCUGAAGAUGAGGAAGGGUCACAACAUAUCCAAAAUGCUUGAGUGCUAUGCCCCACUAGCCAUGGCUAUCAUCCUUAGCCAAUUUGCAGCCUUUCAAGCUUCCUUAGCAAGCCAUCCAAGGGUCCAAAUGUUGCACACCCCAAGCACCUACAACUUUUGGACAAUUUCCAUCCAAUUGGACUGAAUUCCUUCUCUAAUUGAGCUCAAUUUGGCCUCCAUAAAUUCCAUUAAGGUGCCCACGUCCAUCUUAUGAUUUUUCUUUGUCAAUUGAACCAACUUGAUAGCAAAAAAUGCAACAAAAAACUGCCCUCUAAUUUUCUCGAUUCAAAAUAGCCUUACUUUGCAUUUUUUUGCCGAAAUCUCGGGUUUGCAGAAAAAUCUUCAGAGAACGAGUCGACGUUCCUAAAAUAAAUUGUGACAUGACAAAACUUUCAAUUUCUAAAAUCGAGUUUAAAUUUGUGGUUAAUUUCAACCGGGCACGAUUUUAACGUGACCUAACCUACCGAAUAGCUUUUAGGAAUUUUUGGUGCAAUCGACCUGUAGUUGAUUAUUUUCGAGCUACAUUGUGCAUCUUCAACUCAUUGGCAACUCUAGAUUGUCGUGAAAAUUUCGAGAUUUCAAAUACGGGCACAUAAUACAGAAAUGACAGAAAAAUUGGUUUAGUGCCAUUCGACGAGAAUUUUGUAAUGAGGUGGAAUCACCCACACUUUAAUCACGUACCUCAGUCAAAUCGACCUAUCUCCAAUCUCUGAUCGAUUUUGACAGUGUCGUAUUGACAAUUGCAAAUUAGCACGGUCGAGCAGUCGAUUUCUAAUCGAAUUCUCAAAUCAGUUGCGUUUAGGUUCUUUAACGGCUUCACUUGAUAGGCUAGUUAUCUUGUAAGUGGCCAACUCAGAGACAACGGUCAUAGGCGCGUCAAUGAAAAGCCCGUUUCAUUUCAUCGAAAACAUGGUUGAAAAUUAGGAUGUCACAUCUAACCCCUAUUUGGAUAGACCUUUGACAUUUUUGUUCUAUUUUUUCUGCAUGGAUUCUGUAUUUGACCUCUCAAUAAAACGUGCUUGCUAACAUGUUGGCUAUAUUGUGCAAAAAUUUGGUGAUUUUUAGACUUGUUUUGAUAGGACAAAUCCUUGUGAUAUUGGCUGAGUGUCUUGUUGUUUUGACUAUUUUCUGCCAUGGUGUUGCUUGUUGUUUAAUUUUUGUAAAAUCAUGUGUAGCUCGUUUGGUAAAACUUUCUUCACAAAAGUUGUUUGUUAUCUUGUUGUGCAUGUUAGAGAAUUUUUUCAUCACAAAAUUAUCAUUAGAUAUUUCCCAAUCUUGUUGUUUUUAUAUGCUUGUUUUGAAUUCCUUGAUAUGAACUUGAUUGUGAUUGUUUUGAUAAACUUCCUAGGUUAGUUUGUGCAUUAACCAAAGCCAUUCCAUCUUCAUAAAAUUUAUUUUAAAUACCUCAAUAUUCAUUGUUAAAUGAUUUUCGAUGAAUUUUCUUUUCAAAUCAAAUUUAAAAAUGCUUUGGUCCAUGUGAUGUUUUCCAAAAACAAUUUAUUAAAAAGUACUUUUCCAAAAGCUCGAUUUGCUUAAGGAAGAGUCAUGUUUUGAAUCAUAUUCAAAAUGCCUACAACACUUGUGAGUCCAUUUAUGCGAGCCUUGAGCUAGUCUUGGCAAUUGAAUGUGUUCCAUAGCCUAGUUAUUCCUUAAUCCAAAAUAUUUUCAAAAUUUUUCUCAAAUCCUGAUUUGAUAAUUGUGAACGUCACAGUUUGGAUUGUAUUUAAAAUGCUUGCGAUGCUUGUGAGUGUAAUUAUGCGAGCCCCAAGCUAGCCUUGGCAAGUGAAUGUCUUUCAUAACCGAGACAUUAUUUUGUCUCAAAACUUUUUGUGAACGAUUUCAAAAGAUGUUUUUGAAACAUCAUAUAAUCACGUCAUUCAUAAGAAAAGUCUGUGUUUGUAAUUGACGCAUACUCCUGACAAUAAGUAACCCGUUGACAGUUUACUUUCUUGCUUGAUUGGCUAAGAAAUAAGGUCCAAAUGACCUGCAUGCAUGUUUAAUUCCUGCAAUACAUGUGACUUUUAGAUGUAUUGUAGGGUUGAUGCAUGAUAUUGAGGGAAAACCUUGGGAUCACAUAGAUCGCUUGGUUAGGAAACUUAUAAAUGAUAUUGGCUAUGCGAGAACACAAUUAAUCAAUAAUGACUGUAAGUCAUAAAAUAAAUUGGGUAUGUAUCUUAGAGGGACCUACGCAUGAAUUUCAAAGGCUGAUCCCGAGGCCCAAAUCUUCCUUUUGCAUUGAAUUUCUUUCGAAAGAUUGAUUUUGUCAUGAUGUCGUGUUUUUUUAUUGUUUUGAUGUGUAUGCUUGUUUUUUUUUUUUUCCAUUAUAUGCACCUAGUUAUAUAAUUUUGUAGUCUAGGUUUAGAUUAGGAUCCCAAAGAUAGAGAAUACAUGAAAAUGGUGGAUGUCGAUGUCCAUUUCGACCAUAAUCAUAUAUUAUUCAUUUCCUUGGCAUAUGUCUUGGGUUCUCAUCGUCUGUAUAAAGCUUGACGAGGUGCGAGUCCUCUCUUCUUAUCAUUUUCAAUUGCGUUUCUCUUUUGUAUUUUCUAGGAUUGCAUGUUAGAUUUAUUGCUUUCCUUAAUUGUUUACUUACUAUCUCGUAAUUUUAAUUCCAUUGAUUGCUUUCUUUUCUUAUUUUCUAGAAAUAGAAUAGUAUGAAAAUGACUAACCGCACAUGAUCAUUUUAUGACUAACGAUCCCAAAAAUGUAAGAAGAAAUGCAUGAACAUGUUAGGUAAACACAACCUACUGUUUAGGUACCAAAAGUGCGCUGAUAGAAAUAUUGGCGUAACUCAAGUUCCUGAACCUAGAUAUCUGUUUGCGUAGGAAUUGAGGGAAUACUCCCGACUCUUGAUUGGGUUUCUAGCUGACCCCUAAAAAUGAGACUAAUGGUGACUUCGACUCCCGUCUUAUUUUUAGGUUGUGCUAAACAACUAGACCAUAUAAAUGAACCUAUGAUGUGGACAAGGCUCAACAUGGUUUAGCAAUAUCCAUAUGUGGAAACUGUUAGGGAAAUCCCUUAUGAUGUUUUGAAGAUGACAAAAUAAAUCAAAGGCUACUAACAUAUUUAAUUGUUGAGUAACAAACUAUGCAAAUGAUUGAACAUGUAAAGGAUAUUAUCAAAGUCUAUACUUAGAAGAACCAGAAAACAAACUUUAUAUUGAAACUGAACUUAUUCAGACUAUGUUCGGACCUUAAAGCUAAACAUGUUCAGAAACAGAUUAUGUUCAGACUGAUGUUCAAAUUGUAAAGUCUAUUACACUCAGACUCAGAUUGUAAAAUCUAUUACACUCAAACUUUACUUCAAACAGAACAAAGCAGGUCCAGAACGAGACAGAACAUAACACAAGCCCUAAAUGUAUAACGGUUAGUGGUUUGUUUUGGAUUUCACAUCAAGAUUGAUUUGAUUGACUCAAUCUAAUUGAUUGACAAUUGGUUCUUGAAGACAAUAACUUUCUAUACAAAGAAGCUUUAUUUAUAGAAACUAAGAUUCUGUUUGAUGGACGAUUAGAAUCAAUUUGGGAUUCUACUUCUAUCACUCAACGGCUACCAAAUUUUCUAGAUACAGAUCUGUCGAAUGGGUAGAUUGAAAGACGAUCCUCAAGAUACUGUCCAACAGCUAGUUUGGAAGUGAAGGAGUAUUUAAGGAGAUGAAGGACCGAUGAGCAAGUAAGAGAUGAAGCGUAUAAUUUAUAAUUCCAAAGUUUGAGCGAACUUCGAUCAUACACUUGUCUCUUGUGAGCUUAAACGUUUGUGAUUGUGAGAGAAAUACCGAAAGAGUAACUUAGUGAGAUAGUGUGAUCUACUGCUAAGUGUUUGCACUCAAAGUUGUAAUCUCUUGUUGAUUACAUAGUGGAAUCUAGUUAUAAGGAUGUUAGCGUGGGAGAGUGGACAUAGGCUUGAUCUAAGCCGAACCACUAAAAAUUUCGUGUGCAACAUUCUAUUUCCUUAACUCCUUUACUUUAUUUACUGCGAUAUACUUAUGUGUUUUGAAAUAGUCGUUAAAGUUUGAUUCCUUCUGCAAAGUCUGUAGUCGACCAGACUCGGGUUAAAAGUAAAGUUUUUUACUGCAUUUUGCAAAAUCUAUUUUAACACAUAUUCACCCCCUCUAGGUGUUCGUACUAGCACUUUCAAUUGGUAUCAAAGCUAAGUGUUCGAUUUAUAAAAGUGUUUUUAUUUUUGAGUUAAAGAUUUUCUAUGGCUAGUAUUUUGGCACCAAGACUUAUGGAAGGGCAAAGUAAUACCAGGCCACCAUAUUUUGAUGGAAAGGAAUACAACAUGUGGAAAAACAAAAUGAAAGCAUUCCUAAGAUCUAGAAAUCCCUUACAAUGGGAUGUUGUGGAAAAAUGAAUCAAUCCCACUAUUGCGUCUAUAUUGAAUAAGAAUGGCAAAGACAAAGAAACCAAACCCCCUGCUCCUAUGUCUCAAACGGAGAUAUCCAAAAGAGAAGUUCUUGAUGCAAAAGCCAUUUAUUCUUUAUAUUACGCUUUGUCUCUUACUGAAUAUAACAGAAUCUCUUCAUGUGAAACAGCAAAGAAGUUUGUGAUAAACUCCAUGUCACUUAUGAAGGGACUGAUUGUAUUAAAGAGACAAAAGUAAACUUCUUACUCGGCAAAUAUGAAUCCUUCAAGAUGAAGCAAGGAUAAUCGAUUGGAGAUAUGUUCAGCUGUUUUACAGAAAUUGUAAAUGGUUUAGCAUAUCAAGGUCAGCCAAUUUCUACCCCAAUGAAGGUCAGCAAACUUUUGCGAGGUCUCUCAAAAGAUUGGAACCAUGUCAAGACCUCAAUUUGGGAGACUCAAAGGAUUAUGUCACUCUCCGUUGAUGAAUUGAUUAACACUCUUCAAUCCUACGAAGUAGAACAAAUCAACGACAAAGAUCCCGAAGGUAAAAAGUCUAUUACUUUAAAAUCUAAUGCUAAUUCUAAUGAUAUGGACUUAGAAAAUGACAUGGACGACAAAGAACUUGCUUUUAUGAUCAAGAAAUUCAAAAAACUGAGUAGAAAAGGAAAGAAAUUCAAUGGAAUAAGACAAUACAAGCAUAAUGGGUAGAAAAGAACCAUGAAAGAAGAUGAUGAAUAAGGAAAUAUAUGCUUCAUGGCACAUUUAGACUCAGACUCAAAAUUUGGAAUCAGAAUCGGAGUCUAACUAAGAUAUAGACUCAGAAUCAAAGUCUGACUUAGACACAAACUUAGAAUCCGAUGAGGAAAACGAUGUAAGUCAUUCAAAAAUUCCUAUCAAAGUUUCAAGGUAUCUAAAUGAGCUUUGCUUAAAUCUCAAAUCCUCUCUCAAAAGGAUCUCCGAACUAAAAAGUGAGAAUUCAUGGCUUAGGCAACAAGAUCUUUCUCAAAAAGAAAAUUUUGAAAUUUUGCAAAAAUAUUUUCUACAAAUAAAAGAAAGUCGAGAUUUACUUAUCAAAGAAAAUGAUUCUUUGAAGAAAGAAUUUUCAAAUAUUUGAACAAGAUUUUCAAAUGGUUCAAAAACAUUAGAGCAUAUCCUUUCCAUACAAGUACAUUACUAUAAUAAGUCGGGACUUGGUUUCAUUAAGGAAAGUGAUUCUCUAAUAGAUUUUCUUAAAGUCAAGGAGAGAUUUAGACAAAGACCUCCUAAACUUGCGUACAAAAAGCAUUUUCAAAGGAUAUUUACAAAACCUGUUGGUCAAAAUGCCCUCAGGUGUUCAAAUUGUAGAGAUUCAGAACACUUUGAAAAAGAAUGUCUUAAAGUCUGGUGACCUAUUAAGAAAGAUUAGGUAAAAACAACAUACUCUACUAACUCUCAUGGACCCAAGAAAAUAUGAGUACCAAAGAAAGUAUGAGCUAUUUUUGCAGGAAAUAAAGGAAAAUGAGAAAUUGGUAAGGAAUGUAUUUUUUUUUUGGGCACAUAAUUCUCAUUAUGCUUGAUAUUCGAUAUAUUUUUGGUUGCUUGAGAUUUUAUAAUGAUCAUAUUUUAUUUUGUUGAAAAAAGAAUUGUAUGAUUUGUUUUUGUGAUUUGUGAGUUGCGAUUUUAUUUAAUAUGUGUGAUUGAUUUGAUAUCUUUCUUAGAGAUAAUGCAAAUUAUUUUGUCUAAUUUUAUGCUCUCUAAUUUUGUCAUAUUUUGCAAAGUGAAAAUCUGUUUUAUGUGAUAUUAAUUUAUUGUGCAAAGAUAUUCUUUCCUUAAUACUUUGUUACGAUGAAUUAAGAAUGAAUAUCUGUUUAUUUUCUAUUUUACUCUAAUGAAAUGGAAUGAUCCAAAUUGAUGGACACCAAAAAGGAAAUGAGUUGAUUGCAGGAAAUUCAAUAAGGUAAGAAUGAUUAUGAAUCUACGUAGAUUUUGGUGCAAUAAGAAAAUAAUCUUAGGUGAAGAUUGGUAAUGAUUUUUUUUUUUAUCAAUGGUAUAUUGCAAUCAUAUACCUUGGGUAAGAGAAUAUUUUUGCAAAUCUUUACAUACAUUUAUCAUGAUUUUAGAUGAUUGCCUAUGAAUUAAAUAUGAUUUAUAUUGCAAAUAUCUUUUGUUAUAAACAUAAGGUAUUGCAUUUAUUUUUUAAAUUAAAUUGGUUGAUUUGGCACGUGAUAAAAAUAUCUACUUUCAUUUUGCGAAAUGCAUCAAUAAUAUAUUUUUUGAGAUUUAUGCUUAAGGAAAUCCCUUAGAUCUUGAAAGAUAUUAUUGCGUAUUUAUGGAUACUCUUGAUAUAUUCUUAAAAGAUAUCUUAUAUCUAGCAAGUUUGAUCCACGAAUCGAAGGAAGAUAUUAUGUGAUAUUUUUACAAAGAUUGUUAUCUGUUAUAGAAUUUGCAGGUGGCAAAAGAAUCUUCUAUAUGGAUUUUGAAAAGCUUGAUUCGAAAAUCAUGGAGAUACUAUACUAUCUUUUGGAGGCUCAAAAAUUCCCUUGUGCAAAGUUUUUGCAAAUUGUUAAGGAAAUUCAUUAAUGUGUCGUACGAAAGGUUGAGUAGUUCUAAAUUUUAAUAAUUAAUAAUUUUAUAUAUGCUAUUCAAUUUAUUUAUUUGAAGAAAGGACAUUAUAUAUUAUGUGGAUAUUAUUACAAAUUAUUUGUGCAAAAAGUUUGUUAAGUUUAUUCUUACAUUUUACCAAAAAAAAAAAAAAAGUUUGUUAAGUUUAUGUGGGUUGAAUUCGAGAAGAACUUGAUUGAAGAAAAUAAAUUUUUGCCUCUAAUUUCAAAAUGCAAAUGAUCGUUGUGGAUAUUGUUGUUACGAAGAAAAUAAUGGAAAAAAUUCUGCUCAACGUGCACAAGCCACAAUUAGUGCUAUUUGCAAAUAUUGUCAUGAUGAUAGGGGGAGAAAGCGAAUCCAAGAGAAAAGAAAGAAUCGUGAUCAUCUCAAAAAGGCAACAAAUUGAGGGGGAGCAUUGAUCAAUUAUGGAAAAAUCUUUUUGAAUCGAUCGUAAUCUUGAUUAUUAUGGAAGAAAGGAAAAAGGUAAAUGUGUUAGAACUUACCAAGUUCUACAAAAUCCAGUGAGUGCAUCUUUUAUUACCUUUUAUUAUUAAUAAAUCUAUUAUUUACAUUAUCUUUUUUAUGAAAAAAGGAUAAGUGAAUAUUAUAAUGCAUCCAUGAUUUUUAAUUGAAUAUUUGCUGAUAUAUAUGAUUGAAGUGAGCCAUAUUUCAUAUCUUUAAUAUUCGAGUUAUUUUGUAAAAGCUGAUUUUUUGGAAAUUGUAUUUCAUGCAAGAUAUAUUUAUCGUUUUAUAUUCUCUACAUGAUAUCAUUAUCGCUUUUUGAUUAUGACAAAAAGGGGGAGAGAAUAUAAAUAUGCAUAUGUGUUGAUAUUUAUUGAGCUGUGAUUAUCUUUACAUAUAUAAUUAUAUGCUCAAUCUAUUUGUUAUCUUGAAUUACAUUAGUCUUUAAGAUUGCAUUGAUUUAUUAUCAAUAUUUUAGAAAGUGUGAUUACACAUCUGCAUAUUUAGAGAUUGUUUUGUCAUCAUAAAAAAUGGGGAGAUUGUUAGGGAAAUCCCUUAUGAUAUUUUGAAGAUGACAAAAUAAAUCAAAGGUUACUAAUGUGUUUAAUUGUUGAGUAACAGAUUAUGCAGAUGAUAGAAUAUGUAAAUGAUGUUAUCAAAGUCUAUACUUGGAAGAACCAGAAGACAAACUUUUAUGCUGAAAUUGAACUUAUUCAGACUGUGUUUAGACUUUAAAGUUAAAUAUGUUCAGAAAUAGAUUAUGUUCAGACUGGCGUUCAGAUUGUAAAGUCUAUUGCACUCAGACUCUACUUUAGACGGAACGAAGCAGAUCCAGAACAAGACAUAACGUAACACAAGCCCUAAAUGUAUAAUGGUUAUUGAUCUUGUUUGGAUUUCACAUUAAGAUUGAUUUGAUUGACUCAAUCUAAUUAAUUGACAAUUGGAUCUUGAAGACAAGAAUUUUCUAUACGAAGAAGUUCUACUUAUGGAAAUCAAGAUUCUAUUUGUAUGAGUGAUCAGAAUCAAUUUGGGAUUCUACUUCUAUCACUCAACGGCUACCAAAUUUUCUAGAUAUAAAUCUGUCCAAUGGGUAGAUUGGAAGACGAUUCUCAAGAUACUAUCCAACGGCUAGUUUGAAAGUGGAGGAGUAUCUAAGGAGAUGAAUGACUGAUGAGCAAAUAAGAGACGGAGUGUAGAAUUUAUAAUUCCAAAAUUUGAGCGAAUUUCGAUCAUAGACUUGUCUCUUGUGAGCUUAAACGUUUGUGAUCGUGAGAGAAAUACCAAAAGAGUGACUUAAUGAGAUAGUGUGAUCUACUACUAAGUGUUUGCACUCAAAGUUGUAAUCUCUUAUUGAUUACAUAGUGGAAUCCAGCUAGAAGGCUAUUAGCGUGGGAGAAUGGACGUAAAUUUAAUCUAAGCCGAACCACUAUAAAUUUUGCGUGCAACAUUCUCUUUCCUUAACUCAUUUACUUUAUUUGUUGCGAUAUACUUUUGUGUUUUGAAAUAGUUGUUAAAGUCUGAUUCCUUCUGCAAAGUCUGUAGUCGACCGGACUCAGGAUAAAAGUAAAGCUUUUUAUUGCAUUUUGCAAAAUUUGUUUUCACACAUGUUUACUGCCCUCUAGGUGGUCGUACUAGCACUUUCAGAAACAGAUUGGCCCCCUUCCAAAUGUCCGAAUGCGAAAUCAAGUUACAAUCAUUGGAAUUUUAGAGAGCUCAUACGGAAUGUAAGCAAUAUGUUGCAAGAAGGUCAUAUGCGCUAAAUUACCCCAAGUUUGGGUUCAAGUUGCAACUCUUCCAAUUGGAUGAAAUUAUAAAUUCCAUGAUAACUGCAUGUCACUAUCAUUGACUAGGCAUGUCUAAACUAAACUGAAAUUUUGUACAUUCUCGGUUCGGUUUAAUUUUCGAUUCGAAUAAUGGAAAAAUAAUUGUUCAUUGUUUUUAUUUGAGUUAUUUCGAUUCAAUUCGGUUAACUGACCCAAAAUGAAUUUAUCAAUAAAAAUUGAACAUCCAACUUAAAUAUAUCUUUUUUCUUAUUGCUUAUUCAAUUUGGUUCUAGUCAGCAGGGCAAAAGGAAAAGGAAAAUCAAAUCGGGUUUUCAGUUUAGGUAGUAUUCAGUUCCGAUCAUGAUUGGUUUUCUGCCAGAAAAACAGAUCAGCCCCCCUCCAAAUGUCCGAAAGCUCUCCUUAAUCUUCUGUUGAGGCACCCCUGAUGCCUCCCUCGCUUGAGCUAGCAAUCUUUUUAGUUAUGCAUCCCUUUCCACCACGCCAGCUCGGCGAUUCUAGAGGGUGCGUGGAUCCGCUUUAGUCACUCGUCUGUCUCUCCUUCACGUCAGGCUAGUGUCAUGGUCCGUGAAUCCUCCCGUACUCAUAACACUUGUGAGUGGCACUUGGGGUUAUCUGGUGAAGAGUGUGAGGUACAAUGGUAGAAUACAACUGGUCCAUGGGAGUGGCGUCAGGACGGUUGGUGUUAGGAGUUCUAGAAUGGAAUGAUUAUAUCACUUGGGAGCUUUGAAGACGGGUUGGGAGCUGAUGCCGCUCUCCUGAUGAGGUCAUGGCAGGCCGAAACCAGUUGUUGUGCCUAAAGAGAACUGUUGUCCCAUUCGAUGGACUAGAUGCCUGAGCGAAGCUGGGCGUGGUGGGAUCUCGUACGAAGAAGCAUUCACCGUAUUGUUUGUCGAACAGCUAAAGAAGGAAGGCUGGCCUAGCGAAUUCCGCUUGCUAGGCGCUCGCAGGUUGUUUCGAGGCCAAGGAAACUUUUGGCCCAUAACAAAUGGUAUCAGAGCAGGAAUACCUCUCGUAAGUGAGUGAGUCGGAGAAUUGGACUCCUCGCUCCAGCAUGAGUCGAACUGAUAAGUACUAGUGAGACUGGUCUUAGUGGGCGGAAAGUGAAUGGCCGGGGCAAAAGAUGCUCAAACGAAGCUGCGCUCUCUGCUGCUAAGAUGACAAGGGUGCUAGGACGAGUUCGUUUCUUGCUGAGCAAAUAGCAAGUCCGAGAAGAAUUGAAUUCUCGUUGAAUGGGGAUAACGUUCCUAGAUUGAUCGGUGAAUUCGAAGAAGAGGUCUACUGCCACAUUUUCAACAAGAAAAGAACCUCCGUUGGUUUGCUGGGGUCAAGAUGUUGGUUAGGCUGAACUUGUGCUGCCAAAAGAUGCGGUUGGCGAAAAAUACCACACUUGCCAUAAAGCACAGGUAACCGAGAAGGGCCGAGCGGCUGAGCUCAAAAGAGGCUACUGAUGGAGCAAAACCUAUUUUGUUGGGCGAGCGUGAUCGUUCGAUGUGAAUUCCCAAAAGUGGCACAUCAAUGGUUAAGGGACGCAAGGAAGCGACAGAACAGAUCACAACGAGGGCAUUGCGAAUUGAGUGGGGGAGAAUGUCACAGUCUGUAAAUCCUCCUGUACUCGUGAAACUUAUGAGUGGCGCUUGGGGUUAUCUGGUGAAGAGUGUGAAGCAGAAGGGUAGAACACAAUUGGUCCGUGGGAGUGGCGUCAGGACGGUUGGUGCUAGGAGUUCUAGGAUAGAAGGAUUAUAUCACUUGGGAGUUCUGAAGACGGGGUGUCACACCCUGAUCCUCAUGCACGCGCACAUCCCUUACCUUUGGUCGAUUUUAAAUUGCGAUAUCCCAGGACUAUGUAUCGCCGACCCUUUCAUUCAUUUAUGCACAUGUGGAAGCAGUUAUAAAUCCCAAAACAAUAAAAUAAUGGGAUAGAAAAGCGGGCCAUAUAUUUUUCAUACUAAAAAUUCACAACCACAUCUUUUUACACGCAUCUCAUAGUAUUCUACAAUACUAUAUACGUAAGUUUGAUUUAACAUCUAUUUACAUGCAGAUAAGGUCUGAUAAGACAGGACGGGAUCUCAGUCCUCAUCCGGGUCGUACUCGGGGUUAUCCUCGGGGUUCUCCUCCUUAGUACUCCUCUUCAGGCUCCUCAUCAGGGAUCUCCUCGUCAAAUUCCUCCUCCUUAGGCUCCUCAUCUGGGUCCUGAAAUGGUUAUUCAAUAACCACUGAGACAACGUCUCAGCAAGUUCUACUCCCUAAGACCCGAUUAGUAAACUAAUACACUUUAAGGCUGCCUAUGCACAACAUGAGUCAGAGGACUUACCUUGGCCUCAGAUUUUACCUGCAUAUCAGCACAGAUUAAAUAGGCACCCAAGCAAUCACAUCAUAGAUCGAAGCAUCGAUCUAAUCAACUUAGUCGAUUACACGCCAACAAGACCACUCAAUGUCAUUUCCAUUCAAUCGAUCAAUCAACAGCAUCAAAUCAAGAUAAUAAUCAAUCGACCUAGUCGAUUACAUACCAACAAGACCACUCACAAUCAUUUCAAUUAUUCCAACUCAAUUCCCAAUUAUAAAUCACGGUCCUUAGGACACAACUUAUCUAUAGGUGGUAAUCACGGCCCCACCAAGAAACUUUUUUAGAUUUAGUGGCUUUACGGUCCCACCCGACCCUUCCAAGAUUCAAUGGCUUUACGGUCCCACCCGACCUUCUUAAGAUUCAAUGGCUUUAUGGUUCCACCCGACCUUUCCAAGAUUUAAUGGCUUUAUGGUCCCACCCGACCCUCUCAAGAUCUAGUGGAUUUAUGGUCCCACCCGACCUUUCCAAGAUCUAGUGGCUUUAUGGUCUAACCUGACCCUUUUUACGAUGCCAUACUUUGUCACCGAGCCACGUGCAUUCUCCAAGAAGACAUGCCGAGUCUCUAAGCCACGUGCAUUCCCUAAGGUUACCUUUUCGCCAAGAUGACAUAUCCAAUCACUGAGCCACGUGUCUUUCCCAGGUGACAUUCCAAUUCACUGGGCCACGUGCAUUUUCCAGGUGAUUUACCAACUCACUUUCAAUACUGACAACCGAUACCCAACCAAUUCUCAAUCACAAGGUCAAAAUUGCAUUAUUUAAUAACAUAACUUAAAAAUGCACCAUUAAAUCAAUUCGACACGAAUUAAAGCGCAAAUAAAUAAACGGACUGCUCCACGACAAUCAGCAUGAAAUUUCGGUCACCAGCCAUCCCGGUUGAAUUUCCGGAAAAUAAAUAAUUAAAUAAUUAAUUUCGAAAAUUAAAUAAAUAAACACAAUAAUUCCAAUUUAGCACAAUAUGAAGCUCAAUUAAAUAAACGGACUACGCCACGAUGAUCAACAUAAAAUCCCGAUCACUGGCCAUCCCAGUUGAAUUUCUGGAAAAUAAAUAACUAAAUAAUUAAUUUCAAAAAUUAAUAUUUAAUUCCUAAAAAUUCCAAUUAGGCCCGAAUCGCCUAAUUAACACCCGAUAAGGGUCGGGAAAAAUCUCAAGAAGCAUCCAAUACAUACUAUAGGCUAUUCUCCAUCUAAGUAUACUAAUCAAACAACUGAUAUGCAAUGCAAUUAACUAAUAAUCGCUAAUUAAUUCUAAUAUAACCACCUAAUUAAACUUAAUUAACACUAAUCAACAUUUAAGUAUAAUUAGCAAACUAAGAAGGCAUUAGUGAGUAAAACUCACUCAAAACGACGGCAUCGAUGCAAGGAUCGACUUUUCUCAAAGCGGGCCGAGCAUUUGGGCUCGGGAAGGCGGCCAAAACGGGUCACGAAGGUGCUACCAUACCUAUUUUGAACCUCUCUGCUUGCUGCUGGAUGGGGUAGAUCCGGGGCCGGUUGAGGCGAGUAAGGGCGGUGGAGGGCAAGGCGGAGCUUUAGCAAGGUCGACGGUGGCUGGAGGUGGUUGGGUGGCGGCCUGAGGCGGCUGAAUAGGACUGAACAGAGGCGGAACAGGGGCUAGGGUCGCAUGGUGGGGAUGUCUGGACGAUGGAGAGAACAAGCGGUCGCGCGGCUGCACAUGUGCUCGCGUGGGGACGGGCGACCGGCGACCGGCGGAGCAUGGGCGGCGACGGCGGGCUUCUCCAAACCUAGGCGAGCUGCUCCAAACCCAGGAGCAUGGGCACAAAACAGAGAGGAGGGAGAGAGUGCGUCGACGAAAAGAGAAGGGGCAGAGUUGCGAGCAGAUAGUAGGGCGGCAGUGACGGCAGCUCUGAUGACGGCUGCAACGGCGAUGGCAGCUCCUGCUUCGCUAGUUCCUCGGCUUGCUGGGUUUCACUGGUCUUCAGUUGCUGCUCUAGAAGAAAUCGAAAGAAAGGGGAAGAAGAUGGAGGUGCUCGACGAAGGAGAGAGGGGAAACCGGUUUUCUCUUCCUCUCUCUCUCUCUCUCUCUCUCUCUCUCUCUCUUUGGCCCCACCAAUCCAGCUAUCUUCCACUCACUUUUCCUUGCCAAAAAUGCCGCUUCUAGAAGCUUUAAGGUAGGCCAAAAUGUAGGGUAGAUGUGGCAUACGAAUUUUGCUAGGUUUUUCCCUCCAAUUGGACCUUAAUCCCACUUGAAUCAAAUCAAAUCGACCCCCAUUAAAUUAUUUAAUACCUCAUCAAUCAAAUUGGUACUUUUCUUUACCAAUGUAGCCUACUUGCAUCCUAAUUUCGAAUUCAAGAACGGUCCUCUGCAAUUUCCGAUAAAAAUGGCCCUAACUCAACUUUUUCCCAAAAAGUCUCGAUUGUGAGAAAAAUCUUCUGAGACUGAGCCGAUGCUUUUAAAAUGACCUGUGACAUGACAAACUCUUCAAUUUCUAAAAUCGGACUUAAAUUGGCGGUUAAUUUCACUCUAACGCGCUGUUAUUGUGACCUAGGCUACUAGAUCGUUUUCAUAACUUUUUAGGACAAAUGACCCGUGGUUGAUUUUCUUCGAGCCACAAUGAACCCACUCAACACAUUGAAGACUCUUGAUUGUCGUGAAAAUCUCUAGGAUUCAAAUAUGGACAUAGGGUACCAAAACAACAGUAAAAUCAAAUUAGUGCCGGUCGAUGAGAAUUUUCCAAUUUAGUGUAGUCACCCACGAUCGAUCAUUUAUCUCAAUCGAACCGACAUAUCUCUAAUUUCAAAUCGAUUUUAUACUGUGUCGCAAUGAUCUCUAAAGAUGAGCACGGUCGAGAAGUCGAUUCCUGGUCAAAUUCUCAAGUUUAUUUGCCUUAAAGUCCUUAAUAGCUCACCCAGCUAAUCUAGUUAUCUCGUGAGUGGCCAACUCAGAGAAAAACACUGUAAUCGCGUCGAUAAAAUGCCAAAUUUAUCUAAUCGAAAUCAGACCCCGAAAUCUGGAUGUCACACGGAGUAGGCCUCCUGUGCACAAACUGGUCGAGAUCUGAUGCCACUCUCCUGACGAGGCCAUGGCAGGCCGAAACCAGUUGUUGUGCCUAAAGAGAACUGCUGUCCCACUCGAUGGACUAGACGCUCGAGCGAAGUUGGGCGUAGUGGGAUCUCGUACGAAGAAGCAUUCACCGUAUUGUUCGUGGAACAGCUAAAGAAGGAAGGCUAGCCUGGCGAAUUCUGCUCGCCAGGCGCUCGUGGGUCGUUCUGAGGCCAAGGAAACUCUCGGCCCGUGACACUAGGCUCACGCAUGCCUUCUUCGUCAAUUCUUUUCUCGCACCACAGUCUUACAAGCGUUCACCUCAUGGCUAUGCACGUGUAGGGGAAGAAGAAAUGAUGGACUGGGUUUUCUCCUUCCAUCCACUUUAUCGGGCCAAAUGGCAAUGAAAUAGGGCCUAAAAAGGUUGAGCCUAAAAAGGCAUGCUAGCGUGGGCUUAAAGAGAAUUAAAGAAAAUUGGGCUUAAAAGAGACAGCAAAAGAUGGGGCAAGGGAAUUAAAACAAACGGGCUGGACUAAUAAAGGCUUAGAGGGCCGAAAAUUUGUUUAAAGGAGUGGGUUAAAAAUGCUGGCCCGCUCAUUCUCACCAUUUUUUAUUUCAUUUUUGUUUGGUCCAAUUUAUUCAUUUUUUUUCAAUUUUUUUUUCUUUUUAUCUUUUAUAAUUUUUUAUUAUAUUUUUUUGCAAAAUAAAUGGAUAUUUUGGAAAGAAAACAUCAACAAAAAUUCGAGUGUCAACAAACACGAGACCAGUGAUGAGGGUUGCAAGGGCUUCACCGGCGAACGACAACAGAUUAGGUAGUUCUAUUGGAGGCUCGGCCAGCAAGAUCAAGAACUCGCUGGUACUGGUUCGUGGUCUCCUUAAGUAUGAGCCCGAGACCCGGGAUGUUAUGUGAAGCAUGCAUCGCUCAAAGUCACGCAAAAUGCAGGAGUCUUGAGCGGUGAACAUUAAUUGAAGAAGUAUGCAAAUCUUGACGUUUGCUUCGUUCAUCAAUGCAUGCGCCCAUGGAGUGGGACAUCCAAUUUUGCCCUCAUUUAAUGCACGCACAUGGCUAUGUGCAUGCAUGCCCGUAGAAAUUGGUGGGCGCCCUUGCUGCUUUGAGGCUCGUCUUGAAGGCGACAAUGUUCUCUCCUCUUUUAUCAUCUUUCGUGGGUUAAGUUUGUCUUUUAUUAAUGAUUAGAGGAAAGGAAGAAGUCGAAGUUAUGCUGAUUUUUCUUAUGUCGGUGAGAGUUUUUUUUUUUUUUUUUUUAUAUGAGCUACAUUAAUUAAUAAUGUGAUUUACAUUUUUACGAGAUUGAUCUAAUAAGGUGAGAUAUAAUAAUUUUUAAUUAGUCUAAUAUGGGACUAACUAAUAUAGGUUGAGUAGAACUUGGCCUAUGAUAAAAAAAAAACUUUAUAAAUAGUGCUAAAAUCUCUUUUAUAACCUUGAUACAUAAAUAUCCUUACAUAAGGAGGUUUGUUAAACUGAGGUAGGGAGCAAUCUCAUUGAGCUAAUAAUACGAUGGCAAUAGUGAAAAAGUAUUUGAGCUUUGAAUCAUCGCUAUUCUACAUCUCUCUUUUGCUCGAUAAUAGGUGUUAUUUAUUCUAGCUAUAGAGAUGACUUCAAAAUCAUGUGGGCAAAUCUCUUUUACUCGAUUACAUGUGUUCUUGAUUCUGGUUAUGGAGAUUAAUUUCAAAUCAAGUACGCAAAUCUCAUUUACUCAAUUAUACGUGCUCUUGAUUCUAGUUAUGGAGAUCUUUGGUGCUGUUUUAACAACUUACAAUGUCAUCAUUAAUUGGCUUCUGAAGAAGGGUCCAUUUGUCUUGUGUCUACAUCAAUUCUCCGACAAAAGGAUGACUGCAAAGGACAUAGAUAAUAGAGUAGAAAAGAGAGCUCAAGUGACGAGAAGUGAGGCUUGGAAGGUUUGUGCAUAGAGUAAGUCCAUUGAGUUGAGCUGUUAAAUACAAUGGGUAUAUUAAAACUAGGAAAUAUUCAAGUGUGUGAGCGUUUGUAAUUCUAUAAUUCUUCUAUUUCUUAGCAGAAUAUUUGUCGAUUUUUCUCAUGGAUGCAGGUUUUAACAUUCAAAUUGAAUCAUGUAAAUGUCAUGUAUCCUUCUAUUAUUUUUCGUUUUAUACGUUUGUCGAUUUCCAUAGCUUCUAAUAUAAUUGCAAAGUUACGACGUACUUCAGUCACGUCACAAUUUCUCUGACCUCCAUUUCCCCCGUGUGAUGGUGUUGUCUUAUAGUUAUAGUGAAUGGAGGGCCGCCGAGGGCGAAUAAAGAAUUUCGAUGAAGUUGUCGAGGGAGGUGAUAGCGAAUGGGACCUGUUUUUCACAUUUUUGCGGGCAGUGGAAGAAGCUGUCCUUUUAUGCAGUCCAAGGAAAUCCCAUAAAUUGUGGCGAACGAAUCAUGACAUCGUGGAGCAAAUCAAGAAACGUUUUUUUUUUCUUUUGAAAAUCAUCCCUUCUCUGUCAAACUUUUUUCGUUUCUUCCCUAUUUGUUUUUUGGCUCUUCCAAUGCACUAGAAUCUCGUUGUCUGCUAAAUCCAUAUUGGCCGAAAAUAUGUUUUAUUGCUUUCCAAAUUUUCUCAUGUGCAUUGCAUAUGGGAAUUUUGGCCACAAUAUGGUGGACGAUGGGCUUGGCCGAAUUUUUUUGUUUUUUGACAGGCUUAAUCCAGAUUAUUUAGCUCGAAACCAAUCUGUGCAAGUCCACUAACUCAGGUCCAAUUCAAUUAUAUGAGUUUAAUAAUGCAUAAAAAUGCAAUUAAUAUGUAGAUGCAUUUAUUAAUUUUCGGUUAGAGAUCAGUGCCGGUUUCUCAAUUUUUUUUUUUUUUUUUACAACAAAUAAUCAGACAAAGUUACCAAAUUUAGGUGCCAGCAGUUAUCUGUUAAAGUUUUGUGCGCAUUCUCAAGGGAAGCCGGUAUUUAACAAAUGUGUGAAGCGAAGCAAAGGGAAUUAAGGCCAAUUCUUCCACACUCAAAGUAAAAACAUUUUUCUUCACAGUAAAAAUCAUUUCAUUAGGAGAGGGAAAUGAGAGGUUUGAGUAAAAAUAUGCCACCGACUGAGGAUCAAAUGAUUCGUUCAGAUAACAAAGUUUGGUCAGUUUAAUAUCAUCAUAAUAUUUUUGAGAUAAACAGCAUAUGGUUUUCAAAAUAAUGGAAAUUAACUAUCCUGCGAAGUAUGACUCGUCUAGCCAGUCGUAAAUCAUAGAAUUCACUGUGUUUCGACGACAGAAAGAAGUGAGAUUUGAGAGAUUGUACUUUGCAAACACCGAUGGAGGAUGAAAGUUGUCGUCCUUUCAUCGUCUUUCUUACCCUCCAGACGACUUUCCGAUUCUGGUUCCACUAGUUCUUGUGGACCAUUUGAUGGUUCUUCAGCAAUCUUUUCUUUGCCUUUUUGAGAAGUAUAUGCCCUCUCUGGUUGACUCUGCACAGAAGCUUCUAGUUAAGGAGUAGGGUUUGAGUAAUUUUCAAUUUCGCUCAUAAGAAACUGAGCAGAUGUCGUUGACUAGACUCAAAAUAUCCUCCGCAUCUUUCUCCUUGAGUGCAUUCAGCAUGUUUCUUACUACGCUGGCGUGGUCAAACCUUGGUGAGUGAAUAGUUGGAGGUGUUUCUGAAGCAGGUACAGAAACCGGUCCAGAAGAUGGUCCUGGAAUUGGAGUUUUGGGUAAAGAAGUAAGGAGGUUUUUUUGGCUUAAAGGGGAGUGUUCCUCGAAUGUCUAACGAGAGGCGUCUCUUCACUCUCGUGUUCCAGUGAUAUCGAUGCUCCUCGUCCCCUUGGAGCAGAAGAGAACACUGCCGUUCUUCUCUGUGAUCUUCUCAGCCCAAUAUAUCUCUUAGAAACAGUGUUUGCAACGUUGGGUGCCAUUAGAGAGGAUGAUUAUUCGCAAACAGAGUGAGGUUGAAGAAGAUUUCUGGGAUAUAUUAGAAGGAUCGUGAACGAGGGUUUUGUGAACGAAAAUUUGGCAACGCUUCAAGUGUAGAAAGAAGUGAUUUUGACAGUUCCGAAAAAGGUUUGAAUUCAGAAAAAAGUAUGUUUGUCGAAUCUCUAACAGGCUACUAUAGAUGGAAGCGAGAAGAGGGGAUAGAAUCUCACUUUGUCAUUUGUAGAUGUAAUUUCACUAAAUGACAACAACGGUAGUUCUAGAUCCGUCCCAUUAAGAUUGCAACUUAAGUAUAGGGCCCCUUUGUUAAGCUUCAAUUGAAACUCAUUCAUAGGCAACGGCUAUGCGUAUUUAUUAUGAUUGCUCGGUCUUAAUGUACAACAACCGUCAUAAGGUCAUGUCAAAAGCCAAUUUUCUAUUUGUAGGCGUUGGAGGACAACUAUAAAUGGAUAGCGAGUUUGGUGCGGUCUAGUUAGACCUGUGCCUACAAAUCCAAGCCACCCUAACCAAACUUAUAUUGAUUUUGCAUUAGCGACGCCCUGUCAAUUAGGGUGACUGAAUUCGGGGGGAAUUAUUUCUGCCAUAUCUAGGGGGUGUGUCUCCCUCUACACAGGAUUUUGUGAUCUUUGCGAUCGAUAGCAAGAUUGAUAAAAAUCUGCCUUUAUGGAUGAUAAAAGACAAAUAAUCAUCUAAUAGAAUUUGACAUUGACAUGGCUUUAAGUGAAAUAGUAAUGAUAUCAUUUUGUCUAGAAAAUCAUCUAAUACAACCUUGCCAAAAAGUAAAUGUGGCAUGCGGGUGUAAAUUAAGGGUUUUGAUGUCACAAGAAACGGUUUAGAGUAAAUAUGUUAUGGUUUGGAAUUUUUUUAUGUCACAAGAAAAAUUCGGUCUAGAUAUGUCAUUGUGGAUAUAUUUUGGGAUUUCUUGUGACUUUCUUCAAUUUAAAAUUAAUAGUUAUUAUAUAUAUAAAGGGGUUAGGAUUGGAGUACUAUAUGAGAGAACAAAGAAGUAUAAGAGAUUAACAAAUUUAUAAGAACAAGGAAUGUAUGAAGGAUGUAUAAAAACUUAAAUAAAAUCGCGAGAAUUAAAAAUAAUGUAAAGACCAAAGGCAAUAUAUAAAAUAUAAAGUAACAAUAUGCAUAAACAAAAACUAACCAUGAAGGUGGUCUGAACUUGUAUUAAAUAAACUGAAAAUUACAUGUAUUGAAAAAUACAGAAACUAAAGCAUCAAGUCAUCCACUAGGGCGGUAAUCCGUACUCCAGGGAGUAUUGAUGUUUGUAUUACAAGAAAUGGUUAACCAGCUAUCAUAUAAGUUGGUAACCCUACAUAAAACUAUGUAUUUGAAAAAUUAACUUACUUUGAAACCAGGGGUACAAGGUAAGAAAGCUUGAGGCUUGAAAGGAUGAGGGUUUGCAAGAGGGUGAGGAGGAAGAAGAGAGAAGAGAGGUCUGAAAAUUUCGAGCCCCCUUCUUCUAUGCCAAGAGGGUGUAUUUAUAGGAGGUGCUAUAGUGAAAGUACUACAGUGCUAAACAGUGUGAAAUGAACAGUACUGAGUGAACAGUUUAAAGUGAAUAGUGAACAUUGUGUGAACAGUGUAUGCUUAUCAUGCUACAGUGUAUAGCCUUUGCGCCGUUGUAACAGUGUUAGCAUGUGAUGUCUUGAGUUUAAUCUCUAUCUAGGUUGAUCCCGUAGCAGUCGUCUUCAUUGGUGUUUUCACUGUGAUGUGAUUGUGAGGAUCUGUCUGUAUUGUCUUGAAAUUUGGAAGAUCCACAUUGUGAUCCUUCAGCUUCGAAGAGCAUUGUUCUGAGGAUGUUGUAGUAUUCCUCAUUGCUUUGGAUUGCAGCCAGUGCUGCAAUUGCAAUGGAUUUUUCUUGUAAAAAAGAUGUAUUUAGUGGGACUGUGGUUAUUUAAUUUUUCUGGCUAUUUAGCCAUGUCCUAACCGCAACUUCGGAUCAUUGUUCAUGAAAUUUGAAUCCGUCCCACCAUUUUGUUUUGUAUUUUUGGACAAGUACUGGUACACUCGGUUUAGUGGAUGUAUUGUAUUCGAAUUCCCAUGCGGUUACCCAGGAGAUUCUGAAUAUUAUAAAGAAAUGCAUAAGGCAUUGGAACCUUAUAUCAUGCGGUGUUGGUACGAAGUAUUCACUGAAAACCUUGUAUCCUUGUUUGACUGUGGGGUGUAGUAUUAUGUCCAAAGGACCAAAGAGAUCCCACCAAGAGUUAAACCAGUUGGGUAGGCUUUGUCUUGGGAAGUUGUCUUUAAAAAAUAAUAACCAGGUGUAUUGGAAAUUUGUAUUUUGUUUGAAGAAGACAUUCCACCAAGCUUGUUGGUAGUCCCAGUAUGUAUAUGAGGAGGAGUAUGGUAGGCUUUGGGUAAGUUUGGUUUGGAAUUUUUUGGGUGUAUGGGGUGAAGCUCCCCAGGGUGAGGGGUGAAGCUCCCCAGGGUGAGGGGUGUAUGACUUUACUGAUGGAUAUAGUGGAGUAUAGGAUAUUUUCUGUAUUGUUUUUGUCAGCAAAGUGAGUGAACCUUGCCGAUUCUGUUUCUACUAGAAUUUGCUCAUAAUAAGCAAGGGUUUUGUUUGUAUUGUGUGGUUUGAAGAGCCAAUUUUUUGGAAAUAUGUUUUUUGCAAAUUUGAUUGGAUCUUCAUCGAAGAAUCCAUCUUCCAAAGUCAAAAUUUUUUGAAAAGAUAUUUUGGGGAAAAAUUUUGAUUUAUGAGAAUGAGGGGUUGCCUAUGGCCUAAUGACCAUCUUAUUCGAAAUUAUUUUGUAUUCCGCUUGUUUUUGUGUAGCAAGCGGGGAAUGAUUGUUUCUUACCUCGAUGACACUAGAUGGCUCUUUCUUUACUGUUUUUUGUAAAACCUGUGCAAGUAACAAUAUUGUUUCUUUUGGUAGUAUGUCAGCUAGCUUAUUAAAGGCUAGCAUGAGUUCAGAUGAUAUGGGUUCUAUUUUCAAAAGUGUUUGGUGUUGUUGUAAGAAUGACUGAUUGUUUUCUGCCAUUUGGAGCCAUGUCUUGAUGGGUGUUAAGCAUGUUGGCUUUGGUGGUGUAUUGGAGGGUUCAGCAAUGGCUUUACCUUUAUCUUUGUCCUUUUUGGAUCUUGGCAUAUUGGUAUCCCCUGUAAAAAUUCUCUUGUGAGAAAAUCAGGUAAUGAAUUUGAAGAACCAUUUAUAAAUUCAAUGUCAAAAUCAAAUAUUGAAAAUGUGGCUUGUCAUCCGGCCAAAAUUUGUUUUGAUGCAAUGUUUAAUACAUCCUUUUGUAAAAUGUCUUUGGCUGAUUUGCAAUCAAUUCUUAAGAGAAAUUUUUGAUUUAGUAAAUCUCCUUGGAAUUUUGAUAUAGAUAAAACUAUAGCAAGUAUUUCCUUCUUGAUUGUUGAAUAAUUUUGCUGAGUGGAAUUCCAAUAUUUUGAUAUAAAAUGAACAACUUGUUCUUUGUUGUUUUUAACCUGUUUAAGAAUACCACCAUAUCCUAAUUCUGAAGCAUCAGUCUCAACUAUUUUGAAAGUAGAAGGAUCAGCAAGAUGUAAGCAUGGUAUAUCUUUCACAUGAAUUAUUAUUUGUUUGAUAAUGUUAGUAUGGACAGAGGUCCAUGGUGGAGGAUCCUUUUGUAACCGUUGGUGCAAGGGUUUACAAAAGAUAUUUAUAUUAGGGAAGAAAUCUAAAAUAUAAUUGAGACUACCCAAGAAUCUUUGUAGUUGAGUUUUGUCUUUAAUCUCAUCAUGGAAUUUAUCAGUAAAAGAUAUUGAUCCUUCUAUGGGAGUGAUGGUGCCUAAAUGAAUGUAAUGACCUAAGAAUCUAAUCUUGGUUUUGAAGAGUGCACUUUUAGUAGGAGAGACUACAUGACCGUUUUGUAUGAUUAUUUUUAUGAAAGUAGAUAAAUGUUUGAAAUGUUGUUCUAUAUUGGAAGAGAAUAUUAGAACAUCAUCUAUAUAAACUCUGAUGUAUUUUGAAUAAGGAUUAAAUUUCGUUCAUAAUUCUUUGGAAUUCUAAAUGGGCAUUUUUGAGGCCAAAUGGCAUAAUAUUCCAUUCGUAUUGGCCAAAAGGGACUGUAAAGGCUGUUUUGUAUUUAUUUUUUUUACUGGCCUGUAUUUGCCAAAAUCCUAACUUCAUGUCAAAUUUUGAAAAUAUUUUUGAUCUACAAAGUCUGUUUAGCAAAUCUUUUUUAUUGGGUAUAGGAUAUUUUAUCCAUCUAAGGGCUGUAUUAAGAGGUUUAUAAUUAAUAACUAACUUGGGAACUCCUCUUUCUAGUUCAGCAUUUUUAUUGACAUAAAAAAACAGAGCAACUCCAUGGUGAUUGGCUUUUUCUUAUGAUUUUUUUUAUUUAAGAGGUCUUGUAUUUUUGUUUGGCAAAAUUUUAGAACUUCUUGGUUCAUUUGAGUAGGACAAGCUUUUGUGGGUAUUUUGUUUUCAGAAAAAUCAUGUUCGUAGGGUAAAUCAACAAUAUGCUUCUUUCUUUCCAAAAAACCAUUGGGUAAGGUAGAGCAUAUGGUUUUUUUUUUUUUUUUUGUAAGGAAGCUAUUUUUUCUAUAACAUUUGGCUUUAUAAGGUUUUCUUUUAUUCUUUUGAAUUCUAAAUCUUCUUUUAAGAAUUUAAGCUGGUUUUCUUUGUCUUUUAUAAGGCAAUUUAUUUUAGAAAUAGAAUGUUCUUGUAAAAUAUUUAGACUUCUCUUUUGUGGUUUUGUUAUGAAGUUGAAAGUGAUUUUUCUGUUUAAAGCAUAAGUUUCAAUGCCUUCAUUAGUAACCGUAAAAGAUUGGAUUAAUUGCAUGAAAAGUGUUCCAAGGAUUACCUAUUGCCUCAUAUUUUUUACUAAAAGAAAAUAUAUUUUGUAGGACAUUUGAUCUUUUAUUAUUAAGGCUUAUGGUAAUUUGUAUUGUAUAUUUAGUUUGUCUCCUAAGGCUGAUUUUAAGGAUUCUGAUGUUUUAUCAAAGUAUCUUGUAGGAACCAAGCCUUCUUUGAUACAAUUGAGAUCAGUUCAUGUAUUAAAGAGUGCCGUUGUUUGGAUAAUAAACUCAUUGUUGAUUUUUAUCAUAAUAUUUAUUAUCCAUUUUCUAGAUGUCAUUUAUGUUAAUAACAUAAGAAAGGCUAGGUCCGAAGUGUCAGAAGUAUUGGUGAUUUCAUUUUGGUCUUCUGAUUUUGUCUUUCCUUUUAUGACAAGGGAUUUUAUAGAAGAAAUUUCUUGUUUCAUUUCUAACUGUGUUGUUUUCGAGACUUGUAUUUCUAAUUUUUGUUGUUUUAUUUCAUUUUGAAGGUCAUUAAUAUUUAUGUGUCUAGACUGGGGUUUUUUUGUUUCUAUUUAAAAUGUCUUUUAGAUUGUAAGAAGUAUUAGGAUUAGAAACAAUGUUCAUCGAGGAAUGAAGUCUAUCUAAGUAUUCUUUUUUGGCUUCAGGGUCAGUUAUUUUGUCGGCUGUGCUAAGGAGAAAUUCUUCUUCUUUUGUUAACAUAUUUAUUUCAGGAAUAGGUUUGUCAGGAGAGGCAUCUUCAUAAUCAGAAUCGGAAGAGGUUUCUAUUUCAUUAAUCUGAAGACCUUCUUCCUCAAGAAGUUCAUCAAAUGAAGUAUCACCAUUUUCUAUGAGGAUGUUGUUUAGCUGGUAAAGAGGAUUGUCAUUUAAAGAAAGUUCAUUCAAUUUCUUGUUAAUCCUAUAAUAUUUUGAAAUAUGACAUUUUCUACCACAAGAAUAGCAUUUGAUGUCUCUAAAAAUUUUCUUAUCCUUCUGAGGAUUAUUCUGGUUAAUAUGGUGUCUACGUUUAUUCCUAUGAGGUUGAGGUUUGUUGCGAUGUCUCUUUGUUUCCUUUUCAGAAGGACAAGUCCCUUUACAUUUUGGCUUUGUUUUUUCAUUAUAAGAGGGGUCGUACUAGGCACAGAAAUCUCCUAGGCUUCUAUUGGUGAGAGAUUAUUCUUCCUUGAGUUGUCUUUGUAAUUUGAUAGUAUUACAUAUUUGUGUUCCUUGUCUAUAAACGUAGGAGACUAUUUCUCCGUAUAAAAGAAGAUCAUAAGGAAUUUGGCCACUGUAUUCUUCUCUAAUUUUAUUUCUAACUUGGUCACCUAUAAUUUGGGGUAAACCUGCUAAGAAUUUUUCUUUCCAAAAAGAUUGAUUGCAGUCAGGUCUUAUAAGAACCCUUUGAAGGAAGAGUUCUUUGUAUUCUUUAAAUCUCCCUAAGGAUUUACAGCGCAUAUUGGAUAAGAGAUCUUGGUUCCUAUCUCUAAUAUGUGAAGGGUCUCCUAUGAAGUGUUGUGGAAUGGAAUAGAUAAGAGUAUUGACCACAUCUUGGAUGAGAUGUCCUUGAUCAUCAUCCAUGCGUUGGCCAAAGUCAUCGAUUUUAUAGGCAGUUAAAAUUUGUAUUCUUUGUUCAUCGGUCAAAUAAUUAUCCCACCAACCUUUUAGUUGUCCAGUAAAUCCGGCUACUAAAAGAUUAGCAACAACAUGGUCAAAAAUAUAUUGCUAUGUUUUGUAGGCAUUAGCAAGCAUUACCAUGUUGUUUAGUAUGUUCAUAAUAUUGGCUUCAACUACACCAUCAAUAUUCCAUUCAUAAAUGGCAUCAGGAGAGUAUUUAUUAUGUAUUUUUUGUGAUGAUUCUUCUUAGGCAAUGUUUGGUGGGGGUGGCUCUACUAUAAUAAAGUUUUUGAGGUUAUCUCCAAUUGAGUCUGUUUACCUCAGCGGUCGAUUCACUAUCAAAGUCAUCAGAGGGUUUAGUCAAGCUACUAAUAGUGGGUUGUUCUAGAGUAUCAUUAAUAAUAAGUCCUUGGAAUUUAGGAGUGUCUAAUAUAGGUGUAGGUUCUAGCUUUGGUUUCCCUAAAAGCUUUUUCUUUUGUUCUAUGGCCUUAACAAACUCUGAACUAAGGUUUUUUUGGAAAUUCAAAGGCUUUGAAAAUGGGUUUUUUUUUUUUAGUGUAUCAACUUGUGGUAUGAUGAGUUGAGUAGGAUUCUGGAUGGUGGAUUCUAUCCUAUUUAACUGUUUUCCUAUGGUAACUAAAUGUUGAUUAGUAUAAUUGUUUUGUUCAAUAACUUUGUGAGUAUAAAGAGAGUCUCCUUUGUCUGGAAGCCUAAAAGGUGUAGCGGUAACCUCACUAUCUCCAUGUUGUAUUUUUAUUCUCCUAAGGGGAGGAUGAAUGGAUUCUAUGGUUUCCCCAUUAUCAAGUUUCCACUUAUAAUGAUGAUCUAAAACAAUUAUUUCUUUUGGUUCGAGGAAUUGUUCUUCUAACCAAUCAAAGAAAAAUAUAUGGACUUCAUAUCCAUACUAAAUAUAUCCACGAAAACUCCAAACUAAAUAUAUUUGUGAUAAAUUUACUAAAUACUAAUUCUUUUAGCACAAAAAAAUCUCAAACUAGCACACCCAUGACAAAGUUACCCUAAGCUAAUUAUUUGAUCAUAAAAAAUCCCAAACUAGUACAUUUAUGACAAAUUUACCCAAUUUUAGUUUUCAUUUAAUUGAAUUAAUAUCAUAAAAAAUCACAAAUCAGUACAUUUAUGAUAACGAAGGUUAAAACUCCAAACUGGUAUAUCUGUCAACUGUUACGUGUCAUCUAACAUAGCAAUUUGUGGAUAAAAUUUAACAGAAAUUAAUAAAGAGUAAAUUUGUCAUGAGUACACAAGUUUUAGUUUUUUGUGGUCAAAAAAUUAGUUUAGAGUAAAUUUAUCACAUAUGUAUCGGUUUUGGGUUUUUCAUGACAUUAACCCAAAUCAUUUUGAUGGCAGACAUAACGAUAUGCCAACUAACAAACAAAAUUUAUAACAUGAAUUGAAUCAAUUUAAUGGUCUUCACAAAAUUGUGGUACAAUACUAGAAACAGUUUUUGAGUGAUAAUUGUUUUUUUUUUUUUUGGUAAAGUUUUUGAGUGAUAAUUGUUUGUAAGUUCUAAACCUAUUUAAUGGCCAAUAUUGUUAUAAACUUUUAGUUUUAUCAAUUUAGCUCUAAAUAUUUUGACAAUUUUUCAAUGUAGUCUAUAUGUCUAAUUUUUGCCGGCAAUGGUUAAUGUGACCCUCUAGUUAGUACUAGCCAUCUUACAUUGUAGCGCUAACAUGGAAGAUUUUUACAAAUUUUUUAAAUUUUUGAUUUUUCUAUUCUUUUCUUUUCUUUAUUUUUCCAUUGUCCAUCUUCCUGAUAGGGCUAAUGCCGAUGGGACCUUGAAGAUGGCCGAUGCAAAAUUGAAAAAAUAAAAUAAAAAGAUCAGACAUUUAAAAAAAAAAUCACAAACAUAGGACAAUUAACGUCCACCAUAGCGAUUUCCGACCCAUAUUGACCCGGAGGAUUAUAUUAAAGAAGUCAUCAAAGGUUUAUGACUACUUUAGUCAAACUAAAAAAUUUAAUAUUGAAAUAGCAUUGUACAAUAGGUUCGAGAGUCUUUAGAUAAUUUUGCCUUAUUUUUCAAAAGAUAAAAAGGGGAUAAGUGCAUUAGAAGUUCUAAAACUUAUCAUGAAAGUACGAUUAAGUUUUAAAACUUUCAAAAAGUGCAAUUAAGUCAUAAAACUUGUCAUCAAAAUGCAAUUAAGUCUUAAAACUUAUUACGAAAGUACAAUCGUGUCCUAAAACUUUCAAAAUGAGUUAAUGGAAUGACUUGAAUGAAAUAAUUAUACAGUUUUAUGACUCAAUUGCACUUUUGAAUUGAGGACUCAAUUGGACUUUUGUGACAAAUUUCAGGACUUGAUUGCAUUUUUUUAAAGUUUUAGAAAUCAAUUAUACUUUUGUGCCAAGUUUUAGAACUUUCAAUACACUUAUCCAGAUGAAAAAGUAAAAACUUAUAGAAUUUUUAUGAUAUUUGGCCAUCAAACUAUUUCUCUUUUGUCUACUAAUGCUGAUUUCCUUUUAUUAGGAGACAAUAGGUUUUUUCAACUCAUUUUAGAAAAAAAAAAAGGAUUUAGUCAAAAGAUGCAAAAAAUUUUAGGAAUUGAUUUUACUUUUUGACAAGUUUCGGGACUUAAUUGCACUUCUUAAAAUUUUUAGGACUCAAUUAUACUUUUAUGACAAGUUUUAGGACUUUCAGUGCACUUAUUUGGAUAAAGAAAGUCAAAAGUUAUAGGAUUUUCAUGAUAUUUGGCCAUCAAACUAUUUCUCUUUUGUCUACUAAUGCUGAUUUCCUUUUAUUAGCAGACAACAGGAUUUAUCGACUCAUUUUAGAAAAAAAGAUUUAGUCGAAAGAUGCAUAGAGAUUUCUAAUCUCGAUGAUAUUUGAAUGCAUGGGUGGGAUCCUUCGAGAAAUUCUGAACAAAUCCUAAGCACGAGAUUCUUUUUUAUGCAAAUCAAUAAUCGCAUUUCCAAGGCUAUAGACUUUUUUCCAUGACUGGUGCUUAACAACACCACCAUCUAUAUAAAGCGGGGUUAGCAUACUAAGAGACUCGCUACAACUUUCGCAAUGGCUCUUCCUGCUCUGUUCACAAGUUUCGUCCCUUCCUCAAUCAGCCAUAACCAACCCUCUCUCUUGUCCUUCAGACACCCUCGCUGCUCCUCCUCCUCCUUCUCCUCAGGCGCUAAAUCGGUGACAUGCGCCGUGACGAUCGAGAAUCCAAAGAUCGUGAGACGGUUGGCAAAUUGGAAACCUAAUGUGUGGGACUACGAGUUUCUUCAGUCACUCGGAGUUGAUUACAUGGUAAUGAUCCUUUUUGGUUUGGCACAAUACCCAGCCUGGCUAUGUUCUAUGGAAAAUGUUCACAUCUCGGUCCUGAACUUUGUAUUCCUUUUUUUCAUUGUCCCUUGAACUUGUGGGAAUUCCCUAUCCAAUUUCUUGGUCUAUGGUUCUGGCAAAUUGAAGCUCAUGCGCGUGUCAAUGCUAGCGGAAAGUAUGAUGCAGAAAACUCGGUACAAGUUUUAAGUUCAAGGAUCAUGUUGAGAAGGGGAAUAAAAAAACAACACAAGUUGAGGAUCGUAUUAUGCUUUUCCCUACUUUCUUUUUACUUUGAUGAGAUAGAGUCCACAACACCCAAAAUGGCAUAGAAACAAAAACGAAACUGUAUUCUGAAUUAGAUAUAAGGAUGUAUACUACUGAGUACUUUUGUAUACGACCAACCACUGCCACUCUAUCAAAUACGACCAACAUAACAAUAUUCCAUAGAGAUACCAAUAAACUUGAUCAAAAUGGCAUAUUCUCAACAAUGCUUACUCUGCUUAUGUAUUACUUUUGAUUAAGAUCUCAUUUUUCUGAAUGUUUUACGUGCCUAGGAGGAUAAAUAUGCCGAGCAAGUCCAAAGGUUGAAGGAAGAAAUCAGGGGUCUAUUCAACAGGGAGAUGAACCGGGUGGCCAAGCUCGAGUUCAUUGAUGCGGUUCAAAGACUCGGACUAGGAUACCGUUUUGAGACGGAGAUAAAAAAUGCUCUCAGUUCCAUCUAUGACAACACCGGAUAUGCUCAGCUUUUGAACGAUCUCCAUGCAGUUUCCCUUGGAUUCCGGUUACUCAAGACAACAUGGAUACAAAAUACCGCAAGGUAUUCGCCAUAUGGUUACCCUUUUGUAAAUCAUGUUGAUGCAUCAAAAGUUACCUUACCGUUCCUUUUUUUGGACAUAUAGAUGUGUUUCAACAAUUUAUGAACAAGACCGGCACGUUCAAUGAAUCACUCAAUAAGGAUGUGAGGGGGCUUCUUGGUCUUUAUGAAGCUUCUUUUCAUGGAUUGGAAGGUGAAACCAUACUUGAUGAAGCGAGGAACUUUGCUUCUAAGCAUCUAAAGGAUCUAAACAUCGACAAAGUUCCCGCUAUGUUAGCGAGCUACGUGAGUCAUACAUUAGAUAUGCCGAUCCACUGGAGGCCAAAUAGGUUGGAGGCUCGGUGGUUCAUGGACAUGUACGAGACACAACAAGACAUGAUCCCUUCCUUGCUGCGAUUGGCUAAAUUAGACUUCAAUCUAGUGCAAUCAGUCCACAAGAAAGAAGUUAGCAAUAUGGCAAGGUAUACGCAAGCACUCUAGAUAUAAUUACAUGCAAACACCAAACCUGUAGGAGCACAUUUAGAUCGACUUAGUUGUUGCAUGGUAAAUUUCUCAAGUGGUGGGUUGAACUUGGCACGAACAAGAUGACCUUCUUCAGAGACAGAUUGGUGGAACACUAUUUUUGGUGUUGCGCCAUGGUCGAUGAACCUCAAUAUACAGCUUACAGGGAAAUGACGACGAAGCUCACUUGUAUGGUGACACUUAUCGAUGAUGUUUAUGAUGUAUAUUGGACACAGGAAGAACUCGAGCUCUUAACAAAUUUUCUUGUUAGGUUAGUGUAAUAUGAUUACUAUCAUCAUUUUUGCUCGUAACUAUUGUUGCCUAGAGAAACGAUAAGCAAUUAAAUAGUCUCUGAAUGACUUAAGGGAUACAACAAAUUUUGAUAGUUCUAUGAUAUAAAUUCUCUGAUGUAUUUUGAACAUAUCACUUUUUAAGUUAGAUUUUUUUUUUCCUCUAUAUAAUUGAUUGGUCUAGGCAAUUAAAGUAGUAGUAAGUACUAACCUUCAUUGUUAUUACUAAAAGUGUAUCGGGUGCUGGUAAAAUUUACAAAAUGUUGAAAUGUUGAUAUCUUAUCUAGGUGGGACAUCACAGAAAUCGAUAAGCUUCCUCCAAUAAUAAGGGAUAGUUACAUGGCCUUGUACAACAUGACCAACGAAAUUGGGCAUUGGACGAUGAGAGAGCUAGGAAUCAACACCAUUCCUUACCUGCAAAAAGUGGUAAUCUUGCUCAAUCUUUCACCUGAUAAUUUCUAGCCCGUGCAAGGCAACUCACUUUUCUACUUCUGACUUUCGUAAUGAAACUUCUAUUUAAACAUUUGAGAAUUCAAAAAAUGUACGAAAGAAGAAUGUCCCUCGGCUUUGUCAUUGACACACUUUUUUUGAAUUUCAAUCCUCUAGUGGGCGGAUGAAUGCAAGGCGUACAUAAAGGAGGUCCAUUGGUACAACAAGGGCAUCAAACCGACACUGAAGGAGUACAUGGACAAUGCGGUGGAUUCAAUCGGAGGGCUGAUUAUGCUGUUGGGCAGCUACUUCCUAACCACGGACAAAUUGACGGAAGAGGGGCUUGAUUACGUGUCGAAAAUUCCGAGUGUCAUGCAUUGCUCUGCCAAGAUCCUUCGACUCAACAAUGAUCUCAGUACCUCAUUGGUAAAUUACUUUGACGUUUACCUUUCUCCUUUUAUAUAAUCGCUUAUGAAGAGAAAGCACAUCAUUGAUGGAUUCAAAAAUACGUGCUAUUCUUUUUAAUAUAUUUUAUGAGAAUCCUGAGACUUAUGUUUGUGAAACAUCAAUCUCAUUCAUGGUCAGUAUGAAUUGGCAUGAGGAGACAACUUCAAGGCGCUAGAAUGCUACAUGAAUGAAACCGGCGCCUCGGAAGAGGCCACGCGUGAGCAUGUCAGGCAAAUGGUGCACAAGACUUGGAAGAGGAUGAACAAAGACGUGUUUGAGGACUACCCACCUUCUGGGUUUGGGCCUUUUCUCGGCGCUUGUCUGAACUUGGCACAAGCUUCUAAGUGCUUUUACCAGUACGAAGACAGACACGGCCUUCCCGACAACGAAACAAAGGACCACCUUGUGAGGGCACUAUUCGACCCUGUGCCCCUCGAUUAGGGUGCAUAUUACCAGCAGAGGUGUCGCUGUUGGCAAGAGCCUAUCGGCUUACGUGUUAUUAUUAGCUUUUGGGUGGGUGGCUCUGGAAGCUCUAAGACUUUGAAACUAUUGUAAUUGAAAC
rnacentral:lncRNA from 1 species